CCUAUAUUUGCAUGCGAGGUGUAAUAUAAAGAUAAAACAAUAGGGAUUUUGCAGUACUUUAAGCAGCUUGGUAAUAAUGUCACAGGGUCAAGGUCGACCCUACCUCGAUUCUCACCCGUGACUGGCCUUGGUCACCCUCACCGGCACCAAGCAGCCUCUACACGCCACGUGGAGGUCUUUCCUUCAUCAAUAGACAAUGCAUUCUCUCUCAGAGAACAGGAGAAGGAGGCUGAAGUGGAAGCCGAGGCCCGCUGUUCCCGGCCUUUGGACGGAUGCCCAGUGAAGACCUACCCAAUAUCACAAGAUUCCUUGCACUGAAUGCCAGAUUUUGCUUGAUCAGGCCCAGAAGACGAGAUGGGCCCACACCUUGAUGAACUCUAAACUUUCUCUUCACACAAGAAACAAAAAAAGAAAAGAAAAGAAAAAAAAGACAGGAAUCCCCACCCCACCAUCUCUCUCUCCACCAAAUGCUGAGAUCAGCAACGUCGGUUAAGGUCCAAGCAUUUGACUUAGUUACACGCGUGGUCAGGCGAUGUUGUGGAACUGAGACUUUCGAAGUCAACGUGGUGACAUAAACUGACUCCCCGACAGCGUUCGCUUCAUCCGCAACCCCCCCAUCGGCUACUUGCUAAACUCGGCGAGCUUGCCGACGGUGAUGGUGCGGAACGGCUCGGAGAGGUAAGCUUGGGUCCGGGCGGAGAUCUCCUGGGCCACGAACCUCAUGGCGGGGCGGGCCCCCGGGUCCUUGUUGGUGCAGGCCAGGGNNNNNNNNNNNNNNNNNNNNNNNNNNNNNNNNNNNNNNNNNNNNNNNNNNNNNNNNNNNNNNNNNNNNNNNNNNNNNNNNNNNNNNNNNNNNNNNNNNNNNNNNNNNNNNNNNNNNNNNNNNNNNNNNNNNNNNNNNNNNNNNNNNNNNNNNNNNNNNNNNNNNNNNNNNNNNNNNNNNNNNNNNNNNNNNNNNNNNNNNNNNNNNNNNNNNNNNNNNNNNNNNNNNNNNNNNNNNNNNNNNNNNNNNNNNNNNNNNNNNNNNNNNNNNNNNNNNNNNNNNNNNNNNNNNNNNNNNNNNNNNNNNNNNNNNNNNNNNNNNNNNNNNNNNNNNNNNNNNNNNNNNNNNNNNNNNNNNNNNNNNNNNNNNNNNNNNNNNNNNNNNNNNNNNNNNNNNNNNNNNNNNNNNNNNNNNNNNNNNNNNNNNNNNNNNNNNNNNNNNNNNNNNNNNNNNNNNNNNNNNNNNNNNNNNNNNNNNNNNNNNNNNNNNNNNNNNNNNNNNNNNNNNNNNNNNNNNNNNNNNNNNNNNNNNNNNNNNNNNNNNNNNNNNNNNNNNNNNNNNNNNNNNNNNNNNNNNNNNNNNNNNNNNNNNNNNNNNNNNNNNNNNNNNNNNNNNNNNNNNNNNNNNNNNNNNNNNNNNNNNNNNNNNNNNNNNNNNNNNNNNNNNNNNNNNNNNNNNNNNNNNNNNNNNNNNNNNNNNNNNNNNNNNNNNNNNNNNNNNNNNNNNNNNNNNNNNNNNNNNNNNNNNNNNNNNNNNNNNNNNNNNNNNNNNNNNNNNNNNNNNNNNNNNNNNNNNNNNNNNNNNNNNNNNNNNNNNNNNNNNNNNNNNNNNNNNNNNNNNNNNNNNNNNNNNNNNNNNNNNNNNNNNNNNNNNNNNNNNNNNNNNNNNNNNNNNNNNNNNNNNNNNNNNNNNNNNNNNNNNNNNNNNNNNNNNNNNNNNNNNNNNNNNNNNNNNNNNNNNNNNNNNNNNNNNNNNNNNGGAUAGUCGGGGCUCGAAGUCUGUUUCCAGAAGGAUGUUGCUGGUCUUGACGUCCCGGUGGGCGAUGGGGGGGGAGUGGUCAUGGUGGAGAUAGGAAAGGGCGUGGGCCACCCCCUGGAUCACUCGGACCCUGGCCGGCCAGUCGAACUUCCCGCCGGCUCCGCCUUCCUCCCCGUAGAGCACCUUCUGCAGGGUGCCCUUCUCCAGGUACUCGUAGACCAGGUACAUACGGCCGGAGCUCGAACAGGAGCCGUACAGCUUGACGAUGUUCCGGUGGCGGACCUCCGUCAGCGCCCGGAUCUCGUUCUCGAAGCUCCUGAGGCUGGCCUCGGGAAUGUCCGAAGAGUCCAUCAGGUUGAUACGUUUCACGGCGACGACGUGCCCUGUGGGGAGCUUCGCCCGGUAGACGGUGCCGAAUCCCCCCUUUCCGAUGCAGAAAGCCUCGGCGAAGUUGUCGGUGGCGUUGACGAUGUCGAGGAAGCUGAACUUGCCCUCCUUCUCCCACGCGACCGACUUGAAGCUCUCCUCGCUGUGGCCGACCGCCUCAAGGACAUUCCGCCGUCGCCUACGGCGGGAGGAGAAGAUCACCGCGGCAAAGACGACGACGACACAAACCAAGAAAGCCACAGGAACGGCGACCGCGAUGAUGAUCUUCCAGCUGUUAUUGUCUUCCUUCCCAGCAUAAUUAGCUUCACAGGCGGGCAACCCCGCGAUGUCUCCGCAGAGCGAGUUACCUGCAAAGGCUGCAGCAGAGGCGUUUCGGAAGACGCUCCAGCUCGGUACGGGGCCCGUCAGAUUGUUGUAGGAGAAAUCCACCGAGUUUAAGCUGACCAUGUUGGUGAAACUACUCGGGAUCGAGCCGGAAAGCUUGUUGUGGGAUAGGUCGAGGACUUCCAGCCUGAUCAGUUUGCCUAGGUUAGGAGGUAUGGGUCCGGAGAGGGAGUUGUUGCUGAGAUCCAGCAACGUCUGUAGAUUGACCAGGUUCCCGAGCUCGUCUGGUAUGCUUCCCGUGAGAUUGUUGUCACUGAGAUCUAGUGCCUGCAGGCCAACGAGUGCACCGAGCCGGGCAGGAAUUGAGCCGACGAGCCUGUUGUCGGAUAAAUCCAGCAGUUGGAGCUCGGAGAGAUUGCCGAUCGCCGGAGGAAUCUGGCCCGAGAUCUCAUUAUGGCUCAGAUUGAGACGAAACAGCCUGCUCGUAUUGCCCAGUAGGAGCGGAAUCUCCCCUGUGAGGAGAUUGGAAGAUAAGUCGACAUUUCGUAGCUCUGGCAACCUCAAAAGCUCCGAGGGGAUCCUCCCGGUGAUUCUAUUGCCACCAAGCAGAAGAGUUUCGAGCGCCAAGCAUUGUCCCCAAUCUGGUGAGAGCUCGCCUGUCAACUGGUUCCCCGAGAGUUCCAGGUACCGCAACAUCGGAUGCACGCCAAAUGCUUCCGCAAUGUCCCCUGAGAAGUGGUUCGACUGCAGGCGGACCCUUUCGAGCUUCGAGCAAUUCCGCAGGCAGCUUGGGAGUCGUCCGGUGAAGUUGUUCUCCGCUGCAGUGAGGUGCACCAACUCGUAGCCCGUGCACAAGCCUUGAGGCAGUUCGCCGGAUAAUCUGUUGAUCGAGACGCUCACGUUGGCCAAGAGCGCGUUCUUCCCCAAAUCGGGGGGCAGACUGCCGCUGAAGUUGUUGCUGUAGAGGUAUAAGAGGUAAAGAUCCUUGAGGUCAGAGAUGCUUCCGGGGAUAUCGCCGCUGAGCUGAUUGGUGUCUAGGUCUAUCGUCUGAAGAGCCGUCAUGUUGCCGAUCUCUUCUGGGAUCGGGCCCGUGAGGUUGUUGACUUGGAGGUGCAGGUUGGUCAGCCGCUGAAGCUUUACGAUGGUAGCUGGGAUCUGACCGCUGAGCGAGUUUUCGGAGAAAUCGAUCUCUACCAGAUUUAUCAAGUUCCCGAUCUCCGGCGGGAUGGAUCCUGUUAACUUGUUCGUGAAGAGGUACAGGAAUCUGAGGUUCAUCGCCAGUCCGAUUUCGGGGGGAAUCCGGCCGGUGAAGGCAUUCUCCUGAACUUGGAAAGAUAUAAGGCGAGUCCAAUUGCGGAAGAAGGCCGCCGGGAUCUCGCCGGUGAGGAGAUUGGCCGAGACGCCGAAUUCCGCCAUCGCCCCGAUUUCCGCGAGGGAAGGCGGCAACUCCCCCGUCAGCUGAUUGCCGGACAGUUCGAGGAAGCUGAGGUUCCUGCAACUUCCCAGACCUGCCGGGAUGGAAGAGUUCAAUUCGGCCGCGUUGAGGGCCAGCCUCUCGAGCCGCCGGAGAUUCCCCAAGGAAGGAGGGAUCGGCCCGCCUAAGGGAUUUUCGUUGAGCUCUAGUAUGCGGAGGCCGGGAAGAGAACCCAGAGAAGGCUGAAUCCCGCCGGUGAAGCUGUUCGCCCCGAGGCGGAGGACUUGAAGCCUGGUAAGGUUGGAAAUGGAAGCCGGUAUCUCCCCGGUGAACUUGUUGGCGCCGAGGUCGAGGAUCUCGAGCAUCGUCAGAUUGCCGGCCACUGUGUCCAGAAUCGAGCCGGUGAAGCUGUUUAUUGAGAGGUUAAGGUAGCGCACCUUGCGGAGACGGCCUAUCUGGUGAGGGACCAGUCCCCCGAGGUCGUUAUAAAAUAGGUUUAGCUCGAGGAUCUCCGAGAGCUGAGAGAUCUCCGGCGGCAGAGUGCCGUUGAAAUAGUUGUUGCUCAGAUCAAGGGAGGUGAGCUUGGACAGCGCCGAGAUGUUGGCGGGAAUGGAGCCACUGAGAUUGUUGUUGGCGAGGUUGAGGCGAAUGAGAUUGGGGAACGACCGGAAAUCAAGGUCCUCCAGGGUUCCAGAAAGGUUCCCGUCGGUCAAGUUGAUCCCGACGACGCUGCCGGCGGUGUUGCAGGUGACGCCGGACCACCCGCACGGGCUGGCGGCCGAAGCGUUGCGGCCCAACCUCCAUGAGUCCAGCGACGGCGCGGGAUCCAAGCUGGACUUCCAUCUCACGAGCGCCUCGGCCUCGGUCGCCGCCGCCGCCGGUGAGCAGCACAGAGAGAAGGCGACCACCAGGAGGAGGAACAUGAGAGAAGGCCUUGGUUUCUGCCGGAGCUGGAAGAACCUCAGGGAGCCGUCGUCGUCCUGGUACGAUUAUCUGGGGGGCUAAUAAACCGCGUUGCUACGGAGGCGGCUGACAGCUACCGAGGAAGGAGGGAGGAAAGGGGGGGUGGGUUAUCGAACGCCAUGUGAACGUUUGCCCUGAAACUCAGCUAGCCCAUCGCGCGAGGGAAGACGGGGUCACUAUUCCCCUAAUCUUUUAAGUCGACGAGUGUGGAAGCCCGCCCCGCCAUGGCGGCGGCUGACUUGCGGAUUAUAGGAAUCCGAGGGCUUCCCUGCCCCAUAAAAGGACAAGGUUUUUGGGGGGGGGGGGGGGGGGGGAGGAUCGAACCAAUGAAGCGAGCUUCUACACACAGUAAUCUGAAAGGGUUAUGCGACCAGUGCUAACGAACCUCCCCAGUGGUCAACUCAGACGGCCAUUACAGACGGCCGUUUUUAUGAGACGCGUUCCGAGCAGCUGAUUUUCAACGAAACACGUUCGAUAGCUCGGGGGAUUCUCGCAUCAGCUGGGCCCUACUAGCACGAGCACAACCGCCGACAGGUCUGUGUGGGGAAGAAAGUGGGUGGGCGACGGCGGCGAUCGCGACGGCAUUUAUUAUCCAAUCUCAUUUGAGCAAGUCAAUUCCUGGAUCGACAUCCGAUCAAAUUAAUUAAAACGUGACACGUAGAAAGUGACCCAUCACACACGUCAUGAUCUGAAGGCAAUAACAAUUCAUCGGUGAGUAGUGUAAUACAUUAUGAUCUGAAGGAAAUUGUUGAGGGUUGACCCAGACUUUCUUUGAAUGGAUUAAUCUAGGAAAUGGGUUAAUCUCACGCUUCAUAUCGCAUCCUUCGAUCUAAAACUUGGCUGAUGAAUUUGUUUCUAUCCUAUUCUAAUUCACGUUAUGAUUUAAAUUGCAGCAAAUUUGAGUGGCUGGACCUUUCUAUUCUUCUCCCAAACAUGCUAGUUUUCUCGCCAAGUGAAUCAUAUUUUUUGCAUGAUGACCCUUUUACGGUGAAAAUAAGACACUUUUUGCUUCCAUCUGUGGUAGAUGUGAUACACAACAGUGCCUUCUAUUAUCGGUGAUAACUUGGCAUUUAUGAAUUAUAUCAAGGUUGACCUUUUCCUUGUUUUCUACUUUAUAUUCUGAGCACGAACCUGGCUCCUAGGUUUCCCUGCUAUACAUAAUGUUGUUUCGAUACUGAUUGUGGUCGUAUUGAAAUCGCAAUCCCUUAUCCAAUUUCAAAUGACCGAGAAAUUUUUUGUAAUAAGCUAAGGAAAUCAUCUAGUAAUCAGUUGGCCUCACUAGACUAUGCUAAUUUCAUUUUAGAAUAUUGGUGAAUCAUAAUUCUUACCUUUUGUGAGAGAAAUGUAUUUAUUAUUUACUCAACUACUUUAGUCAAAACUUGGAUUUUUAAUUUCAGAUAAGCAUUUUAAGUCUAGUUCUCUAUACCAAGCCAACAAAAAAUGAUGAAAUUCAAGCACACACCCAUGCAUGAACAUGGCCCCGUCUUUCUUGGGCAAAUGCUACGGUUAAACGUUCCUUUCUACAGGCGUCUAGAAAUGGAAGGAGAUCAUAGAUUUCGCCGACAAUAUCACCUACAACUUCCACAUAAGCCUCUACCUCCUCCUUAAUGGGCACAUGCGACUCUGCUCAUCCACCUACUGAAGAUCCUUGCCUAAUGUGGAGGGUUUUCAGCAGGAUGCCGGCAAGAGGUAGAAGCCAUGAAGCGGGUCCAGCCGCUACACUAUCUGAUCCCGUAAAGUCCAGCCGCCUAUCUUGACUCUCCACCCUUCGUGUGUUGUUCUGUGGAUUCUUCUUCUUGUUUGGCGGGUUCAAUCUAUUAUUCUUGGCUUCUAAAUGUCACCUUUUCAGGAACUACGAUUUGCAUUAUCUUCUUUGAGGUAUUUUCAGUGUAUUAUUUUUGUUCUAGGUGAAUCCCGUAUUUCACUUUGAUAACAGGAUUCACGGGGUGUUUCGUUUUCACAUAGAUCUAAAAUAAAUAAAAAAAAUUAACAUGAGCUACAAGCUGAUUCGAUUUCUCUUGCCGAAAGUGGUCAAUUAAUCAGAACCAGGUGGUUUAAAUAAUGGAGAGCGAAUGCCUUCGAAUGCAAAGAAAAUGGAGAAUGCAUCAGAAGUGGAGACCUUCGUUAGUCGGGUGGGGCCUUGCCUCUGCUCGUCGUCCGCGCCGAUCGUACGGCAGAGCUCCGCGAUCACCUUCACGGUCCGGGAUCACCUCCGGCGUCCGGGCCGGAGGAAAGAGCUCGCGUGGACGAAGAAGAGGCGGGCAGCGGCGGAGAGAAGAGAGGUUUUGGGGGGUUACCUGUGAGUGAAGCGAUGGUUUUGCCUCGAAUCUGCUUGGCGGUCUUCUUGUCGAUCACCUCGCAGCGGAAGGACAACAAGCGGCACAAAGGCGCCCUUCCCUUCGUUCGUGUUCUUCGUCCGUCGGUAAGAGCACUGCAAUCCAGAAGGAGCUGAACUAGUAGCAGUAGACAAUUCGCAGUAAGGGGAGAGCAGAAAAAGGGGGAGUGGGAGAAGAAAUUGCAAAAUGAUUUAAAUAUAUUUAAUACAAUACAAUCUGGAAAUAAUUUUAAAUUAUAAAAAUGUAUUUCACUAUCAGAUUUUGAUGCUGAAAGGACGUUUGAUUGCGCGUUCAUUAAUAUUUGUUGAUUUCAGAAUGACAUAAAUGUGCUAUGUCAAUUAUUUUACAUGACAGUGACUUAUGAUUUAAUGGAUUUGAAAAAAAAAUGCUUACUUUUUUGAAAGUGAUAUCUGUAAAUUAUUCUUUUUGUAAUUCAAUAACGAAUUUCUUAUGUUUCUUUGAAGUCAAUAGAACUCUAAUCAAAUAAAAUCCCUUCAAUUAGCCUUAAACAUUUAUGACAUUGAAAACUAUAUGGAACAAUUUUUGUCUCAAAUGAACGUAUUGUGAGAAAGUCAAAUUCAUAAUAUACUUGAAUUAAAUAAAAAAUUUCAUGUCAUGUGUUUUUUAAAUUUUCAUUAAAUGUGUUAUACCACUUGAACUCUGAACGUAUGACAAAAACUUUGAAACUUUUUUGGUGUUUUUAAUCUUUGAAACUAAAGUUGAUAAUUUAGGUGUUUUCAUGACAACCACCGUAUUUUGAGUGAUUUUCAUAUUUCCAUAAAUAUGAAAAUACAUAAGUGAUUCAAAGUAAUCAUAGGGUUAAAUAAGAAUAUGAUUAAAUUUAGUGUUUAAUAGUGUGAAAUACUCUUGAAAUCUACUAGAAUUUAUUUCAGGACUAAAUGAGGAGGGUUAAAGUUAUUGUUAGGACUAAAUGACGUAUAAAAUAGAUUCAGCUUUUGUGCCUGAAUUAAGGUUAUUUUCUUACGUGUUAUUGGGCCUAUAGUAAAACUGAAAUUAAUUUGAGGACGGCCCUAGGCCCAUUAAUUUCAUACAAGGCCCAUUGUGUAGCCCAUUUAGAGGAGAAACAAAACAAGGCAGGUUGUCCCAGAACCCUAGCGGCCCUCUCCCUCUCUUUCUUUCAUUAUCUCCUCUCUCCUUCACACGCCGUCUCUCUCGUCUACUCCCAUUUCUCUCUUUCAUCCUUGUUCUCCUUCAUUGCAUUUCAACAUAGGGUUACAUCUCCUAAUACAUCUCACAAAAUACAAACAGUAUUAUUUAUUAUCUAAUCAUUUUUUUCUCAUUCCCUAUUGUGUGCAGGGGUUUUCAAUAAAUCAAAAUAAAGCAAAAUGGUUCUAAAUGUAUCCACAUCAUCAAUUACAAAUUGGAUAGGCAGUACAUGAAAUUAUUUUUCCAAAGACAACAUCAAACAUGCACUGAAUUGAUAACAUCUUCAUUUCUUGAUUGAGACUCAAAUAAAUAUUUUUGAUCAUAACAAGAAGAUCAAGAAGGGAAAGUUUUUUUUAAUGUAAUCAAAUCAUAAUAUUCAGGUUAACAUCGAUUCACAUUGCCAAGGAAGUUAGAGGAAGGAGGAGAGACAAUGAUCAUCUUGAAAAGGCACCACAUAUGGUGCUAGGGUUUUGUCAUGACUCCUUUUUUGUAUCUUCUAUCUAGUUUUCUACCAUCAUUGGCAUCCUGAUCUUUGUUUCUUUGUUCUAGUUGGUUUGAUGACACCGAAAUCAAUGUAGAUGACUGGAAACCCUUGAGAAGGAAAUUAAAGACUUUCAGUGAUAGUUGAGGUGGGAUCCAUUUAUUGAAACUGAAUUUAAUAAGGACUUGGAUGUUCUUGCACAAGGAAUGAUACAUAGAGAACUGGGGAACAGAGGGGGAAAAAGAAAAGAAAAAUCCUCUCACACCUAGAUAAACUUUACACUUUAUAUUGUUACUAAAGUAUGUACCCUACCGCCCUCUCCCUCUUGAGAUCCGAUCUCUGCAAUGUCCGUCUAAGUCCAAAGGUUUGACUUAGUUACACAUGUGGUCAGGCGAUACUGUGGAAUGGAGACUUUUAAAGUCAACGGGCAUGCCCGGAGCUAAAACCUGGAUGACACUCGUUCAUCCCAAUCAGCUACUUCUUAAACUCGGCGAGCUCACCUACGUUGAUGGUGUCGAAUGGCUAGGAGAGGUAUGCUUGGGUUCGAGCAGAAAUGCCCUGAGCUAUGAACCUCAUGGUGGGGCGGGUCUUUGUUGGUGCAGGCUAGGGACAUCCUGACCACGAACAUGACCUCCUCUGCCAUCUGCUGUGUCAGAGGGGCCAGGUGUUGAUUAAGGACGUCCUUCAACAGAAGCGACUCGCCAUCACCAGAGGAGGAGGAUGACGACAGGAGGUGAUCAGGUUCCCCAGGUGUUUCCCUAGCAUGACCUCCAGUGCCACGAUACCAAAGCUGUACACGUCGCACUUCCCCGUCACCUUCAUUGUGAAUGCCAACUCUACAUCACAAUAAUAGGUGGAGCAAGGAUUGGUCAACAUCGAGCGUGGUGAUAGCAGAACUUAGGAUAUGUGCCGGCGACUUAGCAAGACUCUAGCAAGACAUGGUCAACAUCUUACCUAGAGCCAUGUAGCCGGAGGAGCUAACAAUGCCGGUGGUGGAAUAUGUACCCAAGCUCCACUAAUGAAGGCAAUGACGUCAGAGGAUGCCACAUCAUUUGCAGCCAUCCCACGUCGUCGCCGUCAAACCUAACUGAAGGAUCUGAAUUUCCUUUAUUACUAGGCUUAAUUUUUGCUCAUUUUGCUUGAUUUUAUUGUAGUCUUCUUUUUCAUUCCAAGGCCUAUAAAUAGGCUUAAGAAUUCCUUGAACUGGUGGCUGAUUUUGGGAUUAAGAAAGGUAUCUUUUCUAAGAAUGUGCCCUAGGGGAUCUGUGCGACCGCCGCCGCUUGUAGCCACUGCCAUCACAUGGGUCCCACCCUACUCCAAGGUCAACCUUCCCUCUCCGAAUGAACCCUCUACCAACUCUCGCGCACUCCUCUUCAUGUUGACGGCCUCCUGUCAGUUCACUGAUCGCAUGUGGUGGACUUCCUUCCGUGCACAUCUGCGAGACCUAACCAUCUUGACACAUGACGGAAUGCCCUGCAGCCGCAAACGUCCUCCACAUCAGUGUCAGGCAUCUACUGUCGAGGAACAAUUCCGCCGGAUCGUCAUCCGCACACGACGAGCUCCUCUCUACGGUGUCUGUGCGAUUCCUCACCCUGCAGCCGCGGACAUCCUCUGCCACAGCAUCAAGCGUCCGCCGUCAAGGAACGGUUCUGCCGGAUCACCGUCUACAUGUGAGGAGCUCCUCUCUACUGUGUCCGUGUGAUUCCUCGCCCCACAGCCACAGACGUCCUCCGCGACAGUGUCAAGCGUCCACCGUCGAGGGACAGUUCUGCGGAAUCGCCACCUGCACGCGACAAGCUCCUCUCCGUGGCGUCCGCACGACUCCUCACCCUGCAGCCACAGACAUCCUCCAUGAUAGCAUCAAGCAUCUGCCGUCGAGGGACGGUUCCACGGAUCACCGUUCGCAUGUGACGAGCUCCUCUCUGCAGCAUCCACACGAUUCCUUGCCCUACACCCACGGACGUCCUCUGCGUCAGCGUCAAACGUCCGCCAUUGAGGAGUGAUUCCCGCCGGGUCGCUGUCCGCAUGCGGCGAACUCCUCUCCGUGGGUGUCUGCGCGACUGCUGCCGCCUUGUUGCGACCAGAGCAUCCUGCACGUAGCGAAUGUGCCAAGACUCUUCGUCCUCCCCGACAGCCUCCAACCCUUGUCAGCUACCGUGCAUGCACUGCACACCUUGCUCCUGUCGACCACUGGAUUUGGUUUCGGGGCGCUGCCCCGAGCCCCGCAAGGGGGCGGCUUCCCCCUUGACCCCCACCCAACUGACCACACAGUUGGAUCCGUGAUGAGCCCGCUCUUCUCCAAAGUAUCCUUGACGUCAACUCCUCAACGUUCGAAUGCCUAAGGUCCACUCUUAACCCUUUCAAUGAAUGUGUGCAUUAGUUUCAUCUCAUUUUUCCUCGUUUGUGAUUCCACCGCCAUCAGGUUUAGCUGUGUGGGCUUGUGAUUAGCCGUGUGGGCUCGUGAUAAGUCGUGUGGGCUGUGUUUUCCUUAUUUAGAGACCGACUGAGAUUUUUAAACGAAGAGUUUUGAUUUAUCACGAUGAUUUGAGAUGAUCCUCCAACCCUUGACUGAGGAACGGAACAGUUUUCUCAUUGUCACGCAGCCGACUUUAAAGGUUCGAAUCUGAAUGUGUGUGAGUUUUGUGGUUUGCUAGUUAUUCAUCUCAUUUAUAACAUAUCACAUUUGUGUCAAUCAUAUUCGUCUUGCAUCAGCUGGUCCAGUUAGAGGAAUUGGUGAGGACCUUGGCAAUCUUAAAGUUGGAUAGCUAGGGAUUGAAGUCAGUUUUCAAAAGGAUGUUGCUGGUCUUGACGUCUCGAUGGGUGAUGAUAGGGAGUGGUUAUGGUGGAGAUAGGAAAGGGCGUGGGCCACCCCCUGUACCACUCAGACCUUAGCUGCCUAGUCAAACUUUUUGCCGGCGCCACCCUUCUUCCCAUACAGCACCUUCUGCAUGCUGCCCUUCUCCAAGUACUCGUAAACCAGGUUCAUGCAGCCAGAGCUCAAGCAAGAGCCGUAUAACUUGACAAUGUUCUGGUGGUGAACUUCCAUUAGUGCUCGGAUCUCAUUCUUGAAGCUCCUUGUAGAAAACAAGAUAGGAUAGGCAAGAACGGCAGUAAAAAAUUCUGAAGAAAUACAUAGUAUCAAAUCAAGAAAUCAAAUUGUUCAGCCCACAGCUUAAAAACCCUAAUGUCUCUCUACAAGCCUUUUAUAGGCACUGUUUCUUGAAGAAAUAAGGAGAGUGAUGCAGGACAAAGGGGUCAAUCCCUCGUGCCUGAUUAGUGGGGAUACGGGAUCAAGCGGGAUCAGUUCGAAGAGUAUCCUCGACCUAGGUGAAAUGCCCUGGGACCUACAUGUGGAUGCGACUACCUAGGAGCAGACGGUCCGAUGCUCAAUAGUCUCACCCGAAUCCGUCAGUUGAUAGACCGCGACGACAGUAUCAGGAACGUCCUUCCUGAGCCCACGUCCGAGUAGACGGUGGAACAAGAGGUUGGGAUGUAGUACAAGUGCUGCAGCCCACGUCCUUGGUGGCAAAUCAACACUUGCGAUGAAGAAUCACGAGUCCUAUAGCCGUUCUAGCCUAUUUAAGUUCCCGACGGCAGUGGGAGCGAAUAUCAGAAACCCUUCGAAAAAUAAUCAACUAUAACGACAGAGGGGCGAAGCUAACCUGCGGGGCAAAUUCGCCUGGUGGGUCGAGGCGGUAGUGGCGAACUAGUUCGCGUGCAAGGCCGGUGGUGGCGAACGGUGCACGAUUUCCCAGUUGGUGGGCGGCGCAAGGAGGCAGCAGGCCAUGGCGGUGGGCGGAGGCGUCAAGUGGUUCGGCGGCCACCAGCGGGGGCAGUGGCGACGGCGACGAGAAGGCUGGUAUCGACAUCGGCGGUGGAGGUCAAACGUCUUCCUCCUCCACUCUCUUCCUCUCUCUUUUUUUUCUCUAAACUAAUUCCAAGGGAUCUUCUCGAUGGCUAGGGCAACCUUUGGGGGGGUCCCACCCUUCUUAUAGGGACCCAAAUGGGCCAAGAGGGGUGAGGCCCACUUGAGGCCCAAAGCCCCUAAGCCCCUAAAAUAAAGAGGGAAAACACAAGUUUUGGGCCUGACGGAGCCCUACAAACAUCCAAGGUGGGCCCGCAAAACAUGAAAUGGGCCCGAAAGCUAAAAGAAAAGGGGAAGAAAACAAAGGGAAGGUAAAUACCAUGCGUGGUCAACCCAAUGGGCCGGCGAUGAAGAUGGUGACGUCUCAAAGUGCCUCAAGCCGUGUAACGGAAGCCCGGAUCCUUCGUCUUCGCGCGAGCCCGACGAUCCAGUUGAGUGCGUGCAGGGUUUGCCGAUGCCGGUGUCUCAUGUGAUGGAGACGGGUCCCAAUCGCCAUCAAUCCUCCUGGGGUGGGAAGAACUCGGCUCCGACGAGUGGGCAAAUGGGGACAGCAAAGGCUCCAGUAGGUCUGGUCAUAGGCGUGCCAAGUCCUCCUCCAAAAUCCACGCGUCGUCCUCCAUCGGUCGUCCCUGCCAGUGAACAAGAAAUCUCUGUGAAACUCCGCCCCCUGUAAAGUCGAUUACCUCCUGAAGAAUCUCUUCGACUUGCUCAUGCCGAUCGGGUGAUAUCAUGGGGGGGGGUGGGCUCCGAGGCAAACUCACUCUCAGCGAAUGGGCUGGUAGAUGAGGCUGCAGUGGUAGAUGAAAGAGGUGGGGCUGGGUGCGAGGCCAGAUCUGCCAUGUUGAACGUGGAGCUAAUCCCCCAGGAUGGAGGGAUGUCAACAACGUAUGCGUUCUCACCUAUUCGGGAAAGAACUCGAAACGGGCCCGCGCUAUGAGCGUGUAGCUUAGUAGCGGAGCCCGGAGCAUAACGCUCAAAACGCAACCUAACCAUCACCUGGUCUCCCGCCUGAAAGACCCGGGGUCGACGAUGUGCAUCGGCAGCCUGCUUAUAUAAUACAUUUUGACUCGAUAUCCUAUCGUGAAUAUGCUGAUGCAACUGGCUAACAUGCUGGGCAAAUGCAACACCGUCCUCAGACACUCUAACAUGUGGGUCUAGGGGCACUAAAUAAAGUGGCUUGCGGGGUGCUAAGCCAUGUGCAAUCUCGAACGGACUCAUGCUAGUAGUACGGUUAGUCGAUGUGUUGUAGGCGAACUCUGCUCUCGAUAUGAUCAAGUCCCAUGUCGUCAAGUGCUCUCCAACUAAGGAUCUCAAUAGAUUCCCUAAACUCCUAUUGACAACCUCGGUCUGUCCAUCCGUCUGCAGGUGAUAAGCAGUUGAGAAUUUAAGCUUCGUCCCUAGUAAUCUCCAUAAGGAUCUCCAGAAGUGAUUGGUAAAACGAACAUCACGAUUCAAUAUGAUGGACUUAGGCAGUCCAUGCAGGCGCACUAUCUCUCGAAAAUAAAGACCUGCGAUCUUGGAGGCGUCGGAGGUUUUUGAACAUGGUAUGAAGUGUACCAUUUUUGAAAACCUAUCGACCACAACCAUGAUCGAGUCAUGACGUCAUGCAGUGCGGGGUAGUCCAAAGACAAAGUCCAUGCUGACAUCAUCCCAAGGACGAGAUGGUACCGGAAGGGGUGUAUAAAGUCCAACAUUCUUCUUGACCUGUUUGGCAAGUGCACAUACUCGACACUGAGCCACGAUGUUUCCUACAUCGCGCUUCAAGCCAGGCCAGUAGAAUUGUAGCUCUACGGCAUCAAUGGUCUUGUCUCGGCUGAAGUGACCGGCAAGACCUCCUGCGUGACACUCCCAAGUGAAGAAGUCAUGGAGAGAAGUGCGGGGUACGCACAACCUGUUCCUAAAGAAUAGGUAACCAUCUACCAUAAGGAAGUUCUUAUGCUCGGGUGUUGGGCCAACCUCAAGGGCGUGGACAAUGGGGCCGAAGUCGGGGCAAUCACCGUAUGAGUCCCUGACGGUCUCAAAUCCCGUGACCUGAACCUUAACUAGGUUCAGUAAAUGCACUUGUCUACUCAAUGCGUCAGCUACCACAUUCUCCUUGCCCUUCUUGUGGUGAAUGACAAAAGUGAAGUCCUGAAGGUAUUGGAUCCAGCGGGCGUGUCUGUCAUUGAGCUUCUGCUGGGAAUGCAAGUACUUCAGGGCCUCUGGUCAGAAAAGAGCACAAACUCCUUUGAUAGGAGAUAAUGUCGCCAGUGCUUCAAAGCCUGAAUGACGGCAUAGAACUCCCGGUCGUAGGUCGAGUAGCGGAGUCUAACGUCAUUCAGCUUCUCGCUGAAGUACUCGAUAGGAUGCCCUUCCUGGCUAAGGACACCCCCAAUGCCAACGCCCGAUGCGUCGUAGGCUACCUCGAACACCUUGCUGAAAUCAGGCAAUCGCAAGAUGGGUGCUUGAGUGAUGAGGACUUUCACUCGCUCGAAAGCCUCCUCGGCUGACUCGGUCCACAAGAAGGUAUCCCUCUUGAGAUAGUCAGUAAUGGGUGCCGUGACGGAGCUAAAAUUCCGUAUGAAACGACGGUAGAAGGUCGCAAGACCAAUGAAGCUCCUGAUGUCAUGCAUGCUAGCUGGUCGCGGCCAAGACACUAUCGUGCGGACCUUUUCGGGGUCCGCGAAAACUCCCUAAGCGGAGACGUUAAAGCCAAGGAAGGUAACCUCCGGCAUGAAGAAGCUACACUUCUUCGGGUGAGCAUAGAGCUUCUCCCUCCGAAGUGCUGUGAAUACCUGGCGUCGAUGCUCAAAAUGAGUGUCACGGGCACUGCUAUAAAUGAGUAUGUUGUCGAAGUAGAUGACUACAAAUCUCCCUAUGAACGGGCGUAAGACCUCAUUCAUAAGCCUCUGAAAUGUGCUCGGUGCAUUGGAGAGUCCAAAGGGCAUGACUCUCCACUCGUAAAGUCCAUCCUUUAUCUUAAAGGCAGUCUUCCACUCGUCCCCAGGACAAAUCCGAACCUGAUGAUAGCCACUCCGUAGAUCUAUCUUGGAGAAGAUAGUGGCUCCGGCCAUCAUGUCGAAUAGGUUCUGUAGGCGCGGGAUCGGAAAACGGUAUUUAACCAUAAUCCUAUUGAUCGCACGGCUGUCACAACACAUAUGCCAUGAUCCAUCCUUCUUCGGUGCCAGUAGGGCCGGUACAGCACAAGGACUAAGGCUCUCCUGAAUAAGGCCCUUGUCCAACAGCUCCUGUACCUGUUGGCUAAGCUCUUCGUACUUAGCCGGAUCCAAGCGAUAGUGCGGAAGAUUCGGCAACGUGACUCCUAGCACUAAGUCUAUAGCAUGUUGAAUAUGCUGCAGCGGUGGCAGCUCUCCUGGUAACUCAACGGGGAGGACAUCGGCGAACUCCUGCAUAAUCUCCUCAAUCUCCGGGGUCGAUGGUGGGGGCGUCGUGCGAUUGCAGGUGUCUAAUGUCAAAGUGAAACAGGUGGGGGUAUUGUCGAUCUCCCUUGCUAACUCUUGUUGGAACGUGGGCCCUCGUAGUAGCAUCAACCCAACACGGGGUUUAGGCUUGCGCUUAUCCACGGAUCGUUGUAGCUGGGGAUACCAUAUAAGUCGACGGUCGAGGUACAUGAAAGAGCAGGUGUUAGCCCUUCCCAUGAGUUGGACAUCAUAGUCAUAUAGCCAGGGACGUCCUAGAAUAAUACCUCCGAUUUUCAUCAGAAGUAUGUCGCACAAGACAUGCUCGCUGUAGGUGCUCACUGUGAGUGACACCUGGUAUUGAAAUCGCACCGGAAGUGUGGUAGCGUCUAUCCAAGAGAUGUCAUACGGAGUUGGGUGUCUGAUCGUAGUCAACCCCGUCCGCUGAAUAACUGCAUCUGAUAUGGUGUUGACGCAACUACCACUAUCCACGAUCAUCUUGCACGGCUGACCAUUGAUCUUUACAUAAGUGUAAAAGAUCGAGGUGCGGCGUGGGUCCUCCGUUGAAGAUGAUGAACAUGAUUCGGUACACGUAGUCCUCUCCUUCGGCGUCGUGGCUGUCCGGGGUGCUGGAGAUGGUGCGGCUGAAGGUAGCACUUGGGAAGUCGGGACGGCAGGUGCUGGUGCAAUAGGGCUGACCUUAGGAGUCCUAGGGACAGCAAUGUUGACCAAGCUCCUGGCAGGCGCACUCGGUGGGAUAGCCGAAGGGGAUGGAGCCGAUGUGGCCAGUGUGACGUGGGCUGGUGUGAUCUGAAUAUAUCCAAUCAGGUCGGGUGAAUCCUCGCACUCCUUAACUAGACCCUCAUCUGGAAUAUAGAUGUCAUCAUCCGGCGGUGUACCCUCAUCGUGUGUGCUCGGAUCUGUGUCGUCAACCUCGAUGAGGAGGUUGACGGACGGACACUAACUAAUGCGGUGCCCUAUGCCCUUGCACCUAAAGCAGACCACGUUGCUCUGAGAAACAACGGGUGGCCAGACACUCGAGUCCGCGGUGGGGGCUGGUCGUGGCUGUGGUGCAGAGCUGACUGAUGUCGCUGGGGUAGGUCGUCCGCUCCUUGUGCUGGGUCGUGCCUGGACGGUCGAUGCAGUGCUGGUCUGUCGCUGGACGAAGGUCCUCGUAGUCUGCUAAGACGGUGUAGCCAUCUUCGUAGCCUGCAGUGCUGGAGUGCUGAUAUCCUCUCCAAGGCGUUCCAUGUGCUCGACGAUGCGAUAGGCCUCAUCAACUUUGGAAGGGUUGGUUUUAAGAACCUCAUUUCAAAGUCGUGGGAUAAGUCUGUGCAUAAAAAGGCCCAUCACUACGCGAGGGUCCUCAACGAAGCGACACCUCAUGCGGCAUUCCUCGAAUGCCUGAAUGUACUCCCUAACUAACUGCUUGCCCUGGCAGAGGUCAAGCCAACUGAGGAACAAGGUGGACUCAUACUGUCGAGGAACAUACUUGUUCCUCAACUUCUGGACCAUGUCUGUCCACGUCAUGAUAGGCUGGCCUCGUCGGAGGGCAGCAUAACUCUCAUUCUCCCAAAAGAUCUUGGCCUGCCCGCCAAGUCGCAUCUCAGCAUACUCCAUGCAUAGGUCGUCCUCCAUGCGAUACCAUCUAAAAUAGGAGCUCAUGCUAGACUCCCAAUCAAUAAAGUCUUUGGGUUCGCGGGAACAGUCAAAGACUGCAACAUUGGCACGCACACUUUUCAGUAUGCAUGUACGAUGGUCGUCACGUCUGCGCUCGCGGUCAUCUCGGCGAUCGUCUCUGUGGUUGUCAUCGAACUCCGGGCGGUAGGGACUAGGGUAGUGCCUACGAUCGUCAGCACGAUUGUAGCAGGUGUCUAGCGGGGCACGGUAGUCGUUGCGUGCCCGCGGAUAGUGGCAAUGCAACUCAUCGCGACCAUACGCUCGACAGUCAUCUCGCCGGUCGAGAUCAGCUCGACAGGGAGGGUCGUCUCGGGCCCCCAAGUAGUCUCUAUCCUCGUAUGCUCGGUCAUGUCCAUAGGGUCGACGGUCGUCAAAGUCUCUAGGUGGAGGUGCAGGUCGACGUGGUGGAUCAUCUCGUCUGUCUAGGUAAUCCCGAAUAUGAUGGUCAUAAGGACUCACAGGGCUACGGUCGUCCUCUCGAUCGUAGUCAUCCUCGUGACGUCACGGGUUGCGGGGAAUCAGCUCUUCCUGAUUAUAGCCAUAAUUGGGGUAACGGUGGUCGUACGGACCACCUCGAGGUGCUAUGGGUUGUCGGGGCUAGUAGUCUGGCAUGGCCUGCGGUACUGGCGCUGGUACUGGAUGAGCGGCGACCGGUGGCACUGCACACUGGUACGAUGGGAUGUACGGCGGUACGUUCGGCUGGGCGAUUGGUGGGGCGACCGGCAAAGCGGUCUGAUGGACAGUCGGCGGGGCGACUGGUGAAGCCGCUGCUGCAUAGCUGCUCGUUCUAGAUGAUCAACGGCUGCAUUCACACUGCAUAUGAACUCCAUCGGUGCGGUACGGGAUUCCUCUCGCUGGGGUUGACGGGGUGUCAAUGCCCAACGGCCACCUCUACUUCGUCCUCUAGUAUACCUAGUCUCGUGGGGAUGUGCUGGCUCCUUACCUGGCCGCUACAUCGGCGGGGCAGGUGGAUGGUGUCCUCCGCGUGUAGAUCUGCCUCCAGUGGAGCAAGAGCUCGAUGGCUCUCCAAGCUGAGGCUGCGGUGGUGGUGUCCGGUCUGGACGCAGAGAAGAGGGGAGACCCUCAUCUCUUUCUCCAGAUUGCAGUGUCUCUAGGUCUCUCGCAGCCUAGGAUUGGUGGGACGCUGGCAACUGUCCUCGUACUCUGGUAGAGCGUGUCUCGACUACCAUGGCUCGGUACUCCGGGGUGCCUAGAUGCAAAUGAUGUCCCUAACCGUGGUAUGAUGCAAUGUCUCGAUCGGAUCGGUGGAUCUCAAGAGAGUAGCACAACCUGGCUCUGAUACCAAUUUGAUGCAGGACAAAGGGGUCAACCCCUCGUGCCUGAUCAGUGGGGAUAUGGGAUCAAGCGGGAUCAGUUCGGAGAGUAUCCUCGACUUAUGUGAAAUGCCCUGGGACCUACGUGUGGAUGCGACUACGUAGGAGCAGACGGUCCGAUGCUCAAUAGUCUCACCCGAAUCCGUCAGUUGACAGACCGUGACGACAAUAUCGGGGACGUCCUUCCCGAGCCCACGUUCAAGGUAGAUGGCGGAACAAGAGGUUGGGAUGUAGCACAAGUGCUGCAGCCCACGUCCUCGGUGGCGAAUCGACACUCGCGAUGAGGAAUCACGAGUCCUAUAGCCGUUCUAGCCUAUCUAAGUUCCCGACGGCAGUGGGAGUGAAUAUCGGAAGCCCUUCGAAAAAUAAUCAACUAUAACGACGGAGGGGCGAAGCUAACCUGCAGGGCAAAUUCGCCCGGUGGGUCGAGGCGGUAGCAGCGAACUAGUUCGCGUGCAAGGCCGGUGGUGGUGAACGGUGCGUGAUUUCCCAGUUGGUAGGCGGCGCAAAGAGGCAGCAGGCCACGGCAUUGGGUGGAGGCGUCAAGUGGUGGCGGCAGCCACUAGCGGGGGCAGCGGCGAUGGUGACAGGAAGGCCGGUAUCGACAUCGGCGGUGGAGGUCAAACGUCUUCCUCCUCCACUCUCUUCCUCUCUCUUUUUUUUCUCUAAACUAAUUCCAAGGGAUCUUCUUCUCGAAUGAUGGCUAGGGCAACCUUUGGGGGGUCCCACCCUUCUUAUAGGGACCCAAAUGGGUCAGGAGGGGUGAGGCCCACUUGAGGCCCAAAGCCCCUAAGCCUCUAAAAUAAAGAGGGAAAACACAAGUUUUGGGCCCAACAGAGCCCUACAAACAUCCAAGGCGGGCCCGCAAAACAUGAAAUGGGCCCGAAAGCUAAAAGAAAAGGGGAAGAAAACAAAGGGAAGGUAAAUACCAUGCGCGGUCAACCCAAUGGGCCGGCGAUGAAGAUGGUGACGUCUCAAAGUGCCUCAGGCCGUGUAACAGAAGCCUGGAUCCUUCGUCUUCGCGUGAGCCCGUCGAUCCGGUUGAGUGCGUGCAGGGUUUGCCAAUGCCGGUGUCUCAUGUGAUGGAGACGGGUCCCGAUCACCAUCAGAGAGACUCCAGUCGUCAUAACACAUGAUUGAUGGCCACGAUUAAAUCCUACAACAAUGAAGAAAAGGAAAAACCCUAAAUUGAACUAUGUGCGGUAAAUUUCCACAAAUCUCCACUUCUGUGAGCUUUAAUCCCAACAAUUUCUCCCAUAAACUCACAGGAAAUCUCCCAUGUCACAAAUUCUAGUUAUGUUUCGCAUUUCAUUGAAUCUAACAUGUCCCAAUGACUUCGUGAGAAAAUCUACUCACUACUUAUGAGUAGGAAUGCUCAACUUUAAUCUCCUCUCUUCAAUACACAUCUUGAUAUAAUGAAACUUUAUUUUGAUAUGCUUCAAUCUGCUGUGAAAAGCUGGGUUCUUUGCAAGUUCUAUUGCAAAUUUAUUAUCCACAUAAAUUUUCACGAACUUACAGUCACACUUCAUCAAUUCACCAAUCAAAUUACUGAGCCACACUACUUGACACGAAGCAAGUGUGAGUGUCACAUACUCAACUUUACAAGAAGACAAGGCAACUGUCCUCUGCUUUUGUAACAUCCAGGUAAUCACACUUCCUCCCAUGAAAAAUAGAGAUCCAAAUACUCUUGCCAUUGAUUGGAUCUCUUGCAUACUCACCAUCAGAGUAUCCAAAUAGAUGAACACCUCUCACUUUAGUGUACCUCAGUCCAUAGUCUAGUGUGCCUUUGACAUAUCUCAACACCCUCUUAACACUCUUCAUAUGCUCAACAAUUGGAUUUUCCAUAAAACGACUGAGAAAACCUAUACUAAAUAAUAAGUCUGGAUGAGUACGAGUGAGAUAUAUGAGAGAGCCAAGUAUACUUCUAUAUACAGACAGAUUCAUUGGGCUUGCACCAUCUUUCUCAAAACAAGGUCUCACUUUCAAUGGUGUUUGAGAAUAAAUUGUAGUCGAGCAUGCUGAAUUGUUUGAGAAUUUUAUUUGAGAUAGUACUAUCUUUUCAUUAGAUUGAUACUCUUGAAUUCUUAAAUAGAUCAAAAGACCCAAGUCUGACAUCUUGAACAAAGAUUUCAUCUUAUCUUUGAAGUCUUCAAUUAUCUCCAUUGUGGAUCCAGUGAUCAAUAAAUUGUCCACAUACACACCCAAUAGAAUUGUUGCUUGCUGCAAGUGCUUCAUAUACACAAUUGACUUAAAAUUGCUUAUAUUGAAAUCCAAAUAUUUGAAACUUUUGUCAAGCUUGUUAUACCACACCCUUGGUGCUUGCUUUAAGCCAUAUAAAACCUUCUUUAGUCUAUAGACUUUAUCUUCUUCUCGACUUCUAACAAGACCUUUGGGUUGCUUGACAAAAAUAGUUUUUUCAACUUUACUAUUGAGAAAUGCCAACUUGACAUCAAGAUGAUGGACACACCAUCCAUUUUGAGUUGAAAUAGCCAAUAAUAUCCAAAUAGUCUCUAUCCUUGCAACAUGCGUAAAGACUUCUUCAUAAUCUAUUCUAUUUCUAUGUGCAUAGGCCUUUACCACAAGACGAGCCUUGUGUCUAAUCACUUCUUCAUUAGAAUUCCUUUUUACUUUAAAAGCCCACUUUAACCCAAGUGGUUUGUAGUUGUUUGGGAGUGUCACAAGGGACCAUGUCCCAUUCCUCUCAAUUGAACAAAAUUCUUCAAUCAUUGCCUUCUUCUAGACAUUAUCUUCCAAUGUCUCUUUCAUUGACUGUGGCUCUUUUUCAGUAAAAUUGCACACCUCAUCAUCAGGUAAGUCAACUUGUUGUGUCUCAGCAUAUUACUCAUUUAUAUUUUUAAAUCUCCUUACACUAUCAUUAGAGGGUACAAGUUGACUUCCAAAUGUCUCACUUGCUUCAGCAUAUACUCUUGCAGAGCUUCUACUGAAUUGACUAAGUCAACACUAUAGUCAAACAAAAAAUCAAGAGUAUUAACCAGAUUUGAGAAAACAGCUGGUAAAAUUUCCUAAUUCCAACUCUUAUCUUCUUCAAAAAUUGCAUCUCGAGUCACAUAAAUCUUCCCAUUGACUGGGUCAAAGACCCUAUGGCUUUUUGAUCCCUUCUCAUAGCCGACAUGGAUCAUAGCUUUACUUCGAUCAUCCAACUUUUUCAGGCUUCCAUCAGUCACUUUGAUAUACACAAAGCAUCCGAACACUCUAAGAUGACUUACCUUCGGCUUGCUCCCUAUCCAAGCUUCAUAAGAUAUCAUCUCUUUAAGGCUUCUAGUUGUGGCUCUGAUAACUUGUGAAAAUUACAUAUUAAUGUGUUACUAAAUCAAGGAAAAUAAUACAUAUUUGAGAAUUAUUUCACAAGUUAUCAUGUUAAUUAUUUUGCUUGUCAUUUUGAUAAACCUCCUUAAAUCUUGAUUUAAAUUGAUAUUUUAUGAAUAAAAAGAAAAUUAAUGAAAAUUUAUUUCAUAUGCUGAAGCUUAAUUCUCAUUUAGUUUAUUUUGAAAUAAAAUGAUAUUGUGUUAAAUUUUUAUGAUUAACUGAAAGAUAUUUUUUGGAAUUUUUUUGGAAUUUUUAGGCAUUAAAAUAAAUGAAAUAAUAAAAAGAUAAAAUGGGCACACCGUUAGCAGGCUAGAGACACACCGCUUAAUGGGCCUAACAUGGGCCGGAGGCCACACCACGUCUAGGAGUGAGCCCAAGGGGCACACCACCUCGCGACCCGUGUAGACCAGGUUGCGGCUUUGAUUCAUGGGUUCGGGUUAGAUAGAUCACCUCCAAGGCCUACUUGGAGCCGAGUCUCAAUCUAGAUCAUUAAUGGGCACUGAUAGUUAGGUCCGAUCAACCCUUUAGGAGGUGCAUGUAAUGAAUGGGAGACGCUGAUAGUUAUAUAGAUUGUGACAUUCAUGAUAUUUCCGAUAUGAGACUAAACGGUGGUUCUUACCCUUUUCAGAUCUGAUGGCAGAGCAGUGGCUAUGGCAAAGAUCUAAUGAUCUUGAAGUCAUCACAUCACCACCCACCAUCGCACAAAAAGCAAUGUCAAAUCUAACAGUAGCCGCCAUCAGAUCCGACGCACUAGAAGCAACCACAUCUCCAUCCACCAGCAUGUGGUUUGGCGACCACACGGAUCCUGAUUAAGCACACGAAAAGGCAAUGAGAGCUCAAAUAGAUUUGACGACGACAGAGAGGCCACAUCAUCCCCUUUCUAAGUAAAAUGACGGCACGUGAAUCCAACAGUCUUCAUCAAGCCACGCGGCAGAGGACUUGUUGACAUGCUCUAUUAAGAAGAUAGACAACAAUAUUCACUACUUCUCCCCACAGUUCUCUUGGCAAAGAAUGUGUCUUCAGCAUGGACCUCACCAUUUCCACAACCGUUCGGUUUCUCCUUUUUACAACUCCAUUGUGUUGAGGAGUGUAGGGAACAGAAAAUUGCCUUCGUAGACCAUUUUCAUCAUAAAAUUUAGUGAAUUCAAGUGAAUUGAACUCACCUCCUUAGUUUGUCCUUAGACUCUCAAUUCUUUGAGAUUUCUCAGCCUCCACCAUGACUUUAAAUCUCUUGAAGCUGUCAAAUGCUUUUGACUUCUUCUUCAGAGAUCUUAGGCUCAAUUGGACCACAUAGAUCCCCAUGGAUCAAUUCAAGAGCUCUAGAGGCUCUUAAUGUGGUUAAUUUUGGAAGGGAUACUCUAGUUUGCUUUGAAGCAACGUAUUCUAUGCACAGAUCAUCAACUUUUUCGAAAAUAAGUAAUCCCCUUACCAUGCUCUUUGUAGAAAGCAACUAAAGAGAGUUGAAAUUAAGAUAGCCAUACCUUCUAUGCCAUAACCAUGUGACAUCUUUCGAAAUAUGCAAACAUCUCUCGAGAAUACCCAACCUCAAUAGAUAUAAGCACCCUUAAUUUCUUUGCACUCUUGUAAUCAGCCGAUCUUUAGAGUUAUGAAUUGUUAAUAAUCCACUUUCAAGAUGAAUCUUAAACCCUUGCUCAUCUAAUCUCCCCAAACUCAAAAUGUUAGCAUAGAGAUUAGGGGUAAAUAAAACAUUAGUAAGUGAAAUUGAGGAUCUAUUGAGGGAAUUUAACAUGAUCUUUCCCUUUCCAUCAAUGGAGAUUCUCGAAUUAUCCCCAAACCUCACUUUACCUUUGUAUGAUUCAUCAAGUUCACAAAAUAAUUCUCUCUGACUUGUCAUAUAAGAGCUUACACCAGUAUCUAAAUACCACAGGCCUUCUUGCAGCUCUGAUUGUGAAAUUCCUUGCAUGAGAAUUUCCAGUGAUUCUUCUUCAAUUGCCAUAAGUAAUAGAACUUGUUUCAAAUCUUCAUUAGCUAGAUUUGCUUUGUCAUUAGUUGGCUUCUUAUCUGUCUUCUUCUUUGGAUUUCUGCAUUCAUUUGAAUAGUGUCCCAUACCUUGGCAAUUGUAGCAUUGAACCUUCGAUUUAUCAUACUUUCAUUCCUCUUCUCCUUCAUUCUCCUUUUGAAACCCCCUUGAUCUGCCUUUACCAUGUCUUCUGCCACGACGUCUGCCACAACCUCUCCCUCUCCCUCUUGAGCUUUCAGAAUCUUGCUUCUUGACCUUACCAGGUGCUCUAGCCAAGAGAGCCUUCUCUUCUCUCUUCACUGACCUUUCUUGAAGUUUAUCCUUGUGAGCUUUCAAUGCCAAGAACACUUCAUCCAAGGUAAAUGAAUUCAAAUCCUGAAAUUGCUCAAUGGAUGUGGUGAUUGCAUCAAAUUUGCUAGAAAUCGAACAUAAGAGUUUAACCACAAACUUCUGCAUUGGAAACCUUUUCACCAAGGCCUUUCAAUUCAACCACAAUCUUGGAAAGUUUGCCUAAAUAAUUUAAGAUUACCUUGUCAUUCUCCAUGGUGAGAUUCUCAUAAUCUCACUUCAAUGAUUGAACUUUGGCUGUCAUUAGGUGUGAAACUCCUUCACUCUUCAUCUUUAGGACAUUUCACAUUUGUUUGGCAAUUCUUUUGGGGUCUAGUUCAUCUAUGAUCUCGUCUGAGAUUGUGCUGAAUAAAAUUGACAUUACCUUCUGAUCUUUCUUCUUCAGAGUGUCAUCAUUCUCGAUUACAUCCCACAACAUCAAGCCUUCGAGAUGUAGUCUCAUCCUUAUCGCCCAAGCUUUGUAGUUAACUCUAAAAAGCAUUGGGAAUGCCCCAAUGUGCAUUAGAUGUGACAUUAAUCUUGAUUCCAUCGCAUGCUCUUGCGUUGAUGUCUCUCUAUGCUUUGGCGACAUCCUCACAUGUAGAUCUACCUAUGCAAGGCUUUGAUAUCAAAUGUAGAAAACAAGAUAGGAUAGGCAAGAACAACAAUAAAAAAUUCUGAAGAAAUGCACAAUAUCAAAUCAAGAAAUCAAAUUGUUCAGCCCACAAUAGAGAGGAAGAAAAGAUGAAUGAAACCCCCCUCUUAAAAACCUUAAUGUCUCUAUGCAAGCCUUUUAUAGGCAUAGUUUCUUGAAGUAAGAGGGAGAGACUCCAGCCGUCAUAACAUGCACGAUCGAUGACCAUGAUUAAAUCCUACAACAAUGAAGAAAAGGAAAAACCCUAAAUUGAGCUAUGUGCGGUAAAUUUCUACAAAUCUCCACUUUUACAAGUUUUAAUCCCAACAAUCCUGAGGCUGGCCUUGGGGAUAUCUAAAAAGUCUGUCAAGUUGAUACAUUUCAUGGUGAUGGCGUGCCCUGUGGAGAGCUUCACCUGGUAGAUGGUGCCGAAUCCACCCUUUCCUAUGCAUAAGGCCUUGGCGAAGUUGUCGGUGGCAUUGAUGAUGUUGAGGAAGCUGAACUUCCACUCCCUCCCCCAUAUGAUUGACUUGAAGUUCUCUUAGUGGUGGCUGACCACCUCAAGGACAUUUCGCCGUUGCUUAUGGCAGGAGGAGAAGAUCACUGCGGCAAAGACGACAACAACAAUUGUGAAAAUUAGAUAGAAGAGAAGUGAAGAGAAGAAAGGAGAAUGAGGAGAACAGAUUAUGAACACAAGAAAGAAAGAGUUUUAUUCAAGAAUCAAUCAAGAACUACAUACUAACAUGAUCUAUACAUAUAGAUCUUCUUUUCAAAAGAAUGGAGUUCUUUAAGUAACCGUUCCUUCUUAUUGACGUGCUUGCCCGUUAUAUAAGGUGGGGUACGUGUCUUAAUCCUAUUUGAUGAAGGGUUAUGUGUAUUUUUAUUGGGCCAUGUCUAUGGAAAAUAUAUGGACUGAUUUUAUUUGUUCUUUAUUAAGUUAAGUCAUAUUGGUGGAGGUGAUGACCUGAUUGAGGGUCUAGGCCAAACUCGGAUAGAGUUGUGGGUGUCCAUCUUAUGCCUCUUCGACUGAUGAUCCGGUUGAAGAUCAGAGCCAAACUCAGAUGGAGUUGUGGGCCUUUGUCCUAUGUCUCUUCGACUGAUGACCUAGUUGAGGAUCUGGGCCAAACUCGAACAGAGUUGUGGGCCUCUAUCCUACACCUCUCAAGAUGAUUGUUCAUUAGUAUGGCUGAUAAGUCUUAAUUAUCAUGAGUUAAUAAUCCAGUGAUAUGAUAGUUUUUACCUUAACUCAUGAUAAAUAAACUUAUUUUUGUGCUAAAUCAUGAAAAGUGAUUUCUAGUUGGUUAAUAUGAAUUUUUGAUUAAUUACAUAAUUUUAUAAUCUUAUUUUUUUAGAUAAAUGAAAAAAAGAGUAAAAUAAAAAUAUUAAUGAGAAAAUAAAAAACCACCAGCCAAUUGGGCCGCAAGAGGGUCAGAGGCCCAAUGGAGUAGAGUCACAGGGCUACUGAGGACCCUGAGCUCAAGGCUCAAGCGACUAAGGGCGGUUUGCGAGCACAAGGCUCGAGUGGUUGUAGCAUGCGUCACUCCCUUUCCAUGUCACUAGUGGCCAACCGGGUGUGAGGCAAGGAGUGGUCAUACACAUGCAGGAGAGGAACAUGCCCAUUAGAGGAUGAUGAUCUUUUAUUUGCCUCAAAAUUGGUCAGAAAACCGAUGUGGGACUAAACCCAUAGCUCAUAACUUUCUCCCACAUGAUUAUAAAUGCCCAAAAUAUCCUUUCAUUACCAUGAUGAAAAUAGUAUUGUGACAUCACAUUAUAAUGACAUUAUCAUACUUAUUUCAUUUCUUUCUCUCGUAAGCGAGCAACUGACAAAGAAAUCAUGAUUUUCGGCAAGCGAUUAACUACUAAAAUCACCAAAAUCUCAGUAAAAACUUAGUCAACACUAUUCGCAGAGCAUUAUGACUGGAAUUUGUGAAUGAUUAUGGACAAAAUAUUGAGAACUCAACAAGAAAAUCAUUUCCGAUUGAUCGAUGAACAAGUCGUUGUCGGGAAGAGGACGAUCUAUUGGGAGACGAGUUACCACCUCUUGAGAGUGUACCAGAUAUGAUAAAGGGCCUCCUUUUAUUGCACUAACUUGAGGAUGAAGCCUUUGAGACACACCCUACCUCCAUCUAGCUUACUUUUGUUGGGUGACAGCCGCCGAAGGUCUAUAAGUCACCAUUUUUCUGUUCUACCGGGUGAUAGUUAUUAGAGAUGAUUUGAUGACACAUUCCAUUGAUUUCUAGACUUCACAAGAAGAUCUAGAGAUAUCGUCUUUGUCCAAGGAGAGCCUUCGAGGCCAUGGACAUUACACAAAUUCCUUUGUGAACAUGUAGAUUUCUGGUGAUCAUUUUUGCGAAGUCAGAAUUUUAUUUUUCUUACUUUAAACUUCAUUGUCGUUUAAAUCAAUGAUAGUUGGCACAAUUUCAAAGUUCUAUAUCCUUCUACACUAAGAUACGAUUCUCCGAGCUUUUAUAGAACUUAAUUUUACUCAUUAAUUUGAUGGUAAUCACUUAUGAAAGAAUCAUAGGGUGGAAUUAUAUUUCUGUUUGAUUCAUAUUUUUCAAGUGUUAACAUUACCUUGAUGUCAUAGCCUUACUUUCUUUUGCAUGAAUUCUUAAAUAUAUUAUAUUCAUCUUUUAGUUUAAAAAAUCAUAAAAAAUGAUAUUUGAUGUGACUUAAUUGUUGUAUAAUAAAUCACGUAAAUUUAAAAUUUAUAAAACUAGGAAAGACCAAUUCUUAAAAUUUUAAAUGUUUAUCAGAGUGAAUAAAUUAAUUAUAAAUCGAUAAAAGAUUUCAAAAAUAGUGAGAAAUUUUUAGGUCGAUUAUAGGGAUGUAAUAUAAUAUUGGGUAAUAUUUCAGAAUUUUUCUCAAAGAAUACAAUUUUUUUAUGAUUUUUUAACUGAAUGAUAAAUAUAAUAUAUUAAAUAAAUGCAAACCAGAAAUAAGGCAAUGACAUCAAGUGACGUUAGCACGUGAAGAACAUGAAUCGAGCGAAACAGAGUUCCGACCUAUGAUUCUUUCAUAAGCGAUUAUCGUCAAAUUAAUUGAUCUAAUUUAGUUCUGUAAAAACCCAAAUAAUCGUAUCUCAAGUACGAAAUAUAUUAGAUGUUGAAAUCGUGCCAAAGAUUACUAAUUUGAAUGAAAAUAAAGUUUAAAAUAAGAAAAAUAGAGUUCCGGCUUCACAGUGGCAAUCACCAGAAUUCUGCGUAUUCGGAAAAUAAAUCACGUAAUGUCCACAGCUUUGAAUGUUCUCCUUGGACAAAGAUGGUGUAGGUGAUAUCUAAAACUUCUUUUGAAGCUCAAAAAUCAGUGGAAUGGGUUGCCAAAUCAUUUUUGGUGGCUGUCACUUGACAGAACAGAAAUACGGUGAUUUGUAGUCCUUCGGCGACUGUCACUCGACAGAGGUGUGCUGGAUGGAGGUGGGGCGCGUCUUAGGGGCUUCAUCCUCAAGUCAGCGCAGCAAGAGGAGGCCCUUUAUUGCAUUUGGUAUGCUCUCAAGAGGUGGCGACUUGUUUCUUGGCGGAUUGUCCUCUUCUUGGUGAUGGCUUGUUGUCAAUCAAGCGGAGAUGAUUUCUUCAUUGAGUUCGUGAUGUUUUAUCCAAAAUCUUACACCAAUUUUAGCUACGAUGCUCCAUGAAUCCUGUUGACUAAGUUUUUGCUGAAUUUUUGGUGAUUUUUUUAGCUUAAUCGCUCACCGGAAAUCGUGAUUUCUUCGCCAGUUGUCUGCCUGUGAGAGAGAGAAAGAGGGAGAGAUGAAAUAAGUACUAAAAUGUCCUCACUAUAUGAUAUCAUAAGCAUCAUUUUAUAAUGGUCAUUGAGAGGCAUUGUUGGCAUUGAGAAAAUAUGCAGGAAAAAGUUAAGGCUCCGGGUUUAGUCCCACAUCAGUUUUCUAGGCGAUUUUCACGUGCAUAUAAUAUGACCGCUUCUUUAGCCAUCAAUAGGUACAAAAUCAUCGGCAUUUGUACGAACACUCCUUGCCCCACGCCCGGCUGGCCAUCGGUGACGUGGAAGGGGAGUGACACACACGUUAGCCACUUGAGCACCUAGCUCGUGGUCUGCGUCACCAGCCGCUUGAGCCUCGAGCUCACGGUCUGGUCCUUAGCCCCUUAGCAGCCCUGCCCGACUGAGCCUCCAACUCGCUAUUGAGCCCGACUGGCUAGCGGAUUUUUUUCUUUUUCCUGAAAUCUUUUCUUUUUCAUUUAUCUCAACAAAAUAAGAUUAUAAAAUCAUAUAAUUAAUCAAAAAUUCAUAUUAAUCAACUAGAAACCAUUUUUCAUGAUUUAGCACAAAAAUAAGUCUAUUUAUCAUGAGUUAAGACUAAAAACAUCAUCUUACUAAAUUAUUAACUCAUGAUAAUGAAGACUUAUCAAUAUUCUUUUAGAAAAAUUCUGAAAUAUUAUCUGUAUUAUAUGAACUAGUUCUCUUUUGAAGGAACUUCAUCUAUGUCUAUCAACCAUUCUCAUACUAUGGUGUGACAACAUUCGCACUACAUAUCAUGUCACCAACCUUUUAUUGCACGCUUGCACAAAACAUAAAAAUAGACUACCAUUUUGUGAGAGAGGUCAACACUAACAAGGUCAAAAUUAGAUCUCUCCACAAGAGAUCAAAUUACCAAUAUCUUCACCAAGCCACUAUCCAAGCAUUUGUUUCUCUCUUUAAAAUUCAAGGUCGAUGUUCUUACCCCAAUGAGCUUGUAAGGGAGUAUUAAAGUUAACAAAGCCUAGAAAGAAAAGCUAUGUGAACUAGUUCAGUCAUCAGCUCAAAUCAACAAAACUAAAUUGGCUAAUAAAACAUAGAAAAUCAACAUGCAUAAUAUAUCAUCAACUAUCAGUUCAGCCUUAUAAAUUAGAACCAACUAGCAUAUUAAAAUGGCCAUGUCAACAAAAGUAACUACUACCUCUAUAUAUAUAUAUAUACACACACACACACACAAUCACGAUGUAUUGACGACACCUUUUGUAAAACAUAACAAAUUCACACAUAGUAUCAUUCUCUAUCUUGGCAUUUGUCUCUUCUCCUCUACCUUGUUUCUCCCUUCUAUCUCACAGAUUUCUACACUUGCUCGGUAGAUGGUGUAGAAUCCCCCCUUGCCAAUGUAGAAGGUAUCUGGAAAGUUGAUGGUGGUGUGAGAGAUGUCGAGGAAGCUGAACUUGUCAUCUCUCUCCCAUGCGACUGACUUGAAGUUUUACUCACUAUGGCUGAUGCCUCGAGGACAUUCUUCCGUUUCAUACAAUGGCAGAAGAACUUCACUAUGACAAUGAUGAUGAAUAUACCAAUGAUAGCAACGAGUUCACCAAGAAUAUAACCAAUCUGGUAGUUUACAUCAUGGGUAGACUCAUCGGAAUUAGUGGGCAUGCCUCCCAUGAAACUCAUGGCAGGGGCACUCCAGAAGACGUUCUAGCUCAGAACAUGGCAGGGAAGGAGGAAUUUGUGAACAUGGUAGGGAAGGAGGAAAAGAGAAGGGGAACCCUUAAAAGGGUGAGAAACACUGGGCAUAUGGAAUUCAACCCCAUGGGGCCCUCUAAGUUGACUUGUACAUUUUCUUCGAACGGUAGUUUAUUUCCCUUAAGAGUUGUCCAUGUCAAUGUGAAAUCCACUACGUUUCAACAAGGAAUGUCGUACUAAAUAAAUGAAUCCAUUAGAUUUGGUUUGAAAUACUUACCAAAUGUGGGCUUUGUCAGACCUUUGGGAGGGCUUUUCCAAGGUCUUACAAUAAAUUGAAGGAAUUCAAGGUUUCCUUGCAAUAUUUAAGCAAAAGUCAGUGGGGCUUCAAACUAGUGAACCUCAUUUCUAUACUUGUAAUGUGUGACCCAUGUUGAUGGACUUUUGACCGUCGUUUUGUCUGAGACAUGUUCAAGUAACCUAGGUCCGAUUUGGAGGAUCACAGUAGAUUGUGGUGGCGGCACGACAAUGUUUGCUAUUUCUUCAAAUAGCCCCUUGUUUACAUCUGUCAAUUCUUAAAAUAUGAUCCAAUCAAAGCAACUGUCAGCACGUAGCACAUAGAAAAAAGAUACUUCACAACUUGGAUGCAAUUGUGGUCACAAAAAUCAUCAUAAUUUGUCAAGACAUCUCCACCAUGUAGAAUGCCAUCCAUUCUUCUCAUAAAAGGCCAUAAUUNNNNNNNNNNNNNNNNNNNNCAUUAUGGCCUUUUAUGGGAAGAAUGGAUGGCAUUCUACAUGGUGGAGAUGUCUUGACAAAUUAUGAUGAUUUUCGUGACCACGAUUACAUCCAAGUUGUCAAGUAUCUUUUUUCUAUGUGCUAUGUGCUAACAGUUGAUUUGAUUGGAUCAUAUUCUAAGAAUUGACAGAUGUAAACAAGGGGCUAUUUGAAGAAAUAGCAAACAUUGUCGUGCCACCACCACAAUCUGCUAUGAUCGUGCAAAUCGGACUCAGGUUACGUGAACGUGUCUCAGACAAAACGACGGUCAAAAGUCUGUCGACAUGGGUCACACAUUACAAGUAUAGAAAUGAGGUUCACUAGUUCAAAGCCCCGCUGACUUUUGCUUAAAUAUUUUAAGGAAACCUUGAAUUCCUUCAAUUUAUUGUAAGACCCUGGAAAAGCUCCCUUAAAGGUCUAACAAAGUCCACAUUUGGCAAGUAUUUCAAACCAAAUCUAAUGGAUUCAUUUAUUUAGUACAACGACAUUCCUUGUCGAAGCGUAGUGGAUUUCACAUUGACAUGGACAACUUUUAAGGGAAAUAAACUACCGUUUGAAGAAAAUGUACAAGUCAACUUAGAGGGCCCCAUGGGGUUGAAUUCUAUAUGCCCAAUGUUUCUCACCCAUUUAAGGGUUCCCCUUCUCCUAUCCUCCUUCCCUACCAUGUUCCUAGAUUCCUCCUUUCCUGCCAUAUUCCUAGCUAGAACGUCUUCUAGAGUGCCCCUACCAUGAGUUUCAUAGGAACCUUCCCCAAUCGUGACCAUGACCCCUUGAUGCAGCCGUCUAUAUUGGUGGUUGCAUUGUUGGUUUGGUUAUUCUCUUCAUCAUCAUCGCUAUAGUGAGGUGCUUUUAUCGCUGCUGUAUGCAACGGCAUAAUGUCCUCGAGGCAUCGGCCACAAUGAGUAGGACUUCAAGUCAACAACAUGGGAGAGGGAUGACAAGUUUAACUUCCUCAACAUUGCUCAUGCCACCAACAACUUUGCCGAUGCCUUCUACAUCAGCAAAGGAGGAUUCUGCACCAUCUACCUAACAAGCAUAGAAAUCUGUGAGAUAGAAGGGAGAACCAAGGUAGAGGAGAAGAGGAAACAACAAGAUAGAGGGGGAUAUCAAGUGUGAAUUUGUUAUGUUUUAAAAAAGGGUGUCCUCAAUGCAUCAUGAUUAUGUGUGUGUGUGUGUGUGUAUCUAUAUAUAUAUAUAUAUAUAUAUAUAUAUAUAUAGAUGUAUAUAUAUAUAUGGACCAGGUGAGUAGGGAUGCAGCUCCAUGGACUACUAUAUAUAUAUGUAUUAGUUGUUUUUUUUUACAUAGCCAUUUUAAUAUGCUAGUCGGUUCUAAUUUGUAAGGCUGAAGUAAUAGUUGAUGAUGUAUUAUAUAUGUUGAUCUUUUGUAUUUUAUUAGCCAAUUUAGUUCUAUUGAUUUGAGUUGGUGAUUGAACCAGUUCACAUAACUUUUCUUUUGAGCCUUCAUUAGCUUUACUACUCCCUUACAGGCUCAUGGCUGGAAGAACAUUGACCUUAGAUUUCAAAGAGAAACAAAUGCUUGGAUGGUGACUUGGUGAGUAUAUCAGAAAUUUAAUCUUUUUGAAGAGAUCUAAUUUUGACCUAGUUAGUGUUGACCUAUUCUUGCACAAAAUGGUAGCCUAUUUCUAUGUUUUGUGCAAGCAUGUAAUAAAAGAUUGGUGACAAGAUAUGUAGUUCUAAUGUUGUCACACCAUAGUACCAAAAUGGUUGAUAAAGAGAGAUGAAGUUCCUUCAAAAGACACUUGAUCCAUAUUAAUUCGACUGUAGCAUUAGCAAUAACUUUAUAUUCUACUUAUGUACUUGAUUUGGCGAUAGUAGGUUAUUUUCUAGAACUCUAAAAUAUGAAAUUUUGUCCUAGAUAGACUAAAUAUCCUCCCAUGGAUCUUUGAUCAAUAAGAGAAUUAACUCAAUCUAUUAGUUUUAGGCCACUGAAGAUCAAGAAGCGAGGGUUGAAUUGAUUCACCUUUUCUUUUCUUUGAAUGAUUUCUCUUUGUGAUCCUUUUGUCACUUUCCUAAUGGGCUGAUCCUUAAGGGGUUGUGAUCAUGGACAUACUAUUUUUAUAAUGGUUUGGUAUCAACCUACAUCCACUAUCUAAGGAUACUCCAUAUCCUUGGGUUAUACUAGUUGAUUGUUCAGAUGACAACCAUUAAUUUCACGGGCUCAAUUCAUCCUUCUUCUAGAUUCACUACUCUAUAAGGCCUUAAAUUGUUCUUUUUACAGGACAACUCCCCAAGUGAUCAAAAAAUAAUCAUUGAUUUAAACCCACAACUAUAUAAAACUAUAUCACCGUGGGUAUAUCUAGAAGGUAAAUGUUGAGUGUUUUAGAUUGUUGCAAUAGUAGAAGAUGAAUGUUUAGAAGGUUGAACCUUUGUCAUCUUGUUACUUCUAUAUGUUGGCAUUGAAACUUGAAAACUUGUUGUUAAGUUCAGCUCAAGGAUGAAGAAUAUCUUGAAUAUGUUUGAGUUAAUACUUAUUCUUUUAAUGUGCAGCUAGUAGAACAAUCAUCUCUCAUCCUCUUGAAUGUACUACAUGAAGAUCAUUAAAUAGAGGAAGAAUGUAUGAAAGAAUAAAUAUGCUUGUUGAGGAUUAAUUCUUCAUGUUGGAGAGUAGUAGUAUUUAUAGAUAAAUUACAUAUAAAUUGUUCACUAAUUUUGUAGGAUCUCUAAUGACUAGAUUAAAUUCAAAGCUUACAUAAAUCUAAUACGAUGUCCUUUUACUAUUUAAGAUAUUCUCUAAGGAAAGCAACACAUAAAUUCUUUAAGACUUAAUGUUGUUAUCCGGUUGGUUCACAAAAAUCUAGUAAGCGUUUGAUAAACUUUAUUAUGUACCUGACAUGACAUGUCUUAUUGAAGUAAUGAUUUCUCACUUAAACUUUAUCUAAAUUCAAUCAAAAAAGAUAUGAGAUAUAAGUAUACUCUAUGAACUUCAAUCUUAAUAUUUUAAAUCAUAAAAUCUUUGUCAAGAUUCAUCUGUAUGAUUUUUAACAUAUAUUCAAUGUAUAUUUAGAAAAUCUUAUUUAGUGAAUUCAACACUCGAUUGAUAAUUUGACUAAUUCGAUAUCUAAUCAUUAGAUUAUUAUAAAGUAAAAUCAUGAGUUUGUAGAUGCCUGAAUAAGCUUUUAUACUCAUAUUUUAUUUUAUCUAAAGUCAUUGAUAUAUUUAUUCAAAUAAUUAUUUUGUUGAUUGCCAUGAUUUUUGUAAAUAAAAAAUAUUUUUGCACAACGUCAUGUAAUUUGAUGAAUUUCUUAUGAUCUUAAGGUUUAACUAUUUAAAUUUAUAUCAUGAUAAUUUUGUUCAUUAAUUAACUUGUUAAUUACAUACUUGAGAUCUUGACAUGUAUGCUUCAAGUGUAUGAUUUCAUAUAUUACAUCAUAAUAAAUAUUUUAUAUUUUUAGAUCUCCAGUCUUGGCCUUCAAAAAACUCACUAAUUCCUCACUAACAAAUAGAGAUCUCUCCAUUGGAAACUCUCUCCUAACCUCUCUGGUACUAUUUGGUCACAUGGUGCUACAAGAUGAAAAGAGGUGGCUUCUAUUUAUAUAUCACCUUGAGCUGCCUUAGGAAGCGUGCCAAUGAACUCCUUAGUAAAUGUGUCCACAAUUUACUCGAAGCAAAAAUGGUUUGGUUGAACUGUUUCUCCCAUCUGGCUUGGCCUGCCAAUAAUUGGGCCAUUGAGGGGCAUAUAAUUGAUCUCUCUCUCUCUCNNNNNNNNNNNNNNNNNNNNNNNNNNNNNNNNNNNNNNNNNNNNNNNNNNNNNNNNNNNNNNNNNNNNNNNNNNNNNNNNNNNNNNNNNNNNNNNNNNNNNNNNNNNNNNNNNNNNNNNNNNNNNNNNNNNNNNNNNNNNNNNNNNNNNNNNNNNNNNNNNNNNNNNNNNNNNNNNNNNNNNNNNNNNNNNNNNNNNNNNNNNNNNNNNNNNNNNNNNNNNNNNNNNNNNNNNNNNNNNNNNNNNNNNNNNNNNNNNNNNNNNNNNNNNNNNNNNNNNNNNNNNNNNNNNNNNNNNNNNNNNNNNNNNNNNNNNNNNNNNNNNNNNNNNNNNNNNNNNNNNNNNNNNNNNNNNNNNNNNNNNNNNNNNNNNNNNNNNUAUAAUUAGUAUCUCUCUCUCUCUCUCUCUCUCUCUCUCUCUCUCUCUCUCUCUCCUCAGCAUUAAAUACAGUUUUUUUCCGCUGCCUAUUAUGAGCUGACCUGCUGGACGUGGUCAACUUAUGAGCCACGUGCCAAUAGAGCUGGCAUUCAUGAUGAAGGUGACGGAGAAGUGCGACAUGUACAACUUCAGGGUGGUGGGGUUCGAAGUCAUGAUGGGGAAGCACCCGACGGACCUGAUCACCUCCCUGUCGUCGUCCUCCUCCUCCGGCGAUGGCAAGGCGCUGCUGUUGAAGGACGUUCUCGACCAUCGCCUGGCCCCCCCAAUAGGGUGCGGAGGAGGUCGUGUUCAUUGUCAAGAUGGCCCUGACCUGCACCAACAAGGACCCGGAGGCCCGCCCCUUCAUGAGAUUCGUGGCUCAGGAGAUCUCAACCCGAACCCCAGCCUACCUCUCCGAGCCGUUCGGCACCAUCACCCUUGGCAAGCUCGUCGAGUUUAAGAAGUAGCUGAUCGGGGAGGUACGAAUGAAGCGAGUGCCGUCCAGGUGCCGGUUCCAGGCAACCCCCCAUUGACUUGAAAAGUCUCCUUCCCACGAUGCAACUAAGCCAAAUGUUUGGACCAAGACUGACAUUGCAGACGUCAGCUCCUUCCCUCUUUUAUUUUUUUAAUUUUUCUGUAUCUAAACCUGUGGGAAGAGAACGCGUAAAGUUUAUGAUGGUGGGAGAGGCUCCUUCUUUUCCAGUUCUCCCAUUAUUUCUUAUUUCCUGGGCAUCGAUUUUAAUAAAUAUUUAACUUUUUUCAAAACCCUACGCCUCUCCGGUCACAUGCCAUCUUCUGGGCCUGACCAAGAAGAAAAAAAACAGUCGUCCAAUACAACGGAUCUGGUGGAGAAUGGUGGGCAUUCGUUGAGCCUCGUUCGGAAUUUAUUUUAUUGAUUUAUCCAUUACCUUCACUUUUUUAAGUGUGGGUUAUUAGGCAAGGGUUACCUGUUAUUCAAUGAGGGAGAAUCCGGGAUCCUUUGAUGAAGAAAAGUCUAAUGCGCCACAUGAAGUGGCUGCUUGAUGCUGACGAGGGAGACCAAGGCCGGUUCAGGGUGAGAAUAUUGGUCUGGUGGUGUUGGGUCUGGUUGGGUUUAUCUUGACCAUGUGACAGUACCACCCAUCUGCUCUCGGCACUGCUGAAUCGCUAUUUUGUUAAUUUUAUCGUGAAGGUUGUGUAAGGAUAUUGACUCUCGAAAUGGUUCCUUUGAUUAAUUGGGUAAUUAUGGCAAAUAGAAUUUCAUCUUUCAAUUUAUAUUCCACAAUACAAUCGAAUAUAAGAGUGGACGGUGGUCUUUGUGUGAUUGAGGAGAGUAGAACCAAAUAUUGCGCAUAGCUGGGCUACUAAACACUGUCCAUAUCGGGCCAACAAAAGGGAAGAUCAUGUAAAAUGUCAUUAUUGUGUAGGAGUCACCACUACAAGUUCGGUCUUAGGAUUUCUCUUCUCUCAACAUAUUACAAGUAUUGGGGACACUAGAAGCUCAAGUAGAGUUUAAUGGAUCACAAUGACUUAUCUUUGUGGUAGUCGUCAUCACUGUCCACUUGAAUAACAUUGGACAGUGGGAUCACCCACACCUUCUUCUUGGUACAAGAGAUGACUUGACUAGAGCUAACAUAAAGAGACCUUAUUCAAGUGCAAAUAUUCAUCUUCCAGUAUCAAAUUAGAGUUCCGAGGAAUGCACCGUUGAGAUAAAAGAGAGAAAGGGGAGGAGACGAGCAAGUGAAGGAGAGUUGGGAUAAUGAAAGGAGGAGCAGGAUAGGGUGGCUAGGGUUUUGGGACUGCCUUGUUUUAUUUUUUCUCUAAAUGGGCUGCAAGAUAGGCCAUGUAUUGAAUGAAUGGGCCAAGGCCAUUUUCAAAUUAAUUUUAGAUUUAUUUUAGGCCAAGAAUUGAUUCGGACUCAAAAGAUGAAUCUAUUUUACAUGUCAUUUAGUCCUAACAAUAAUUUAAAUUCUCCUCAUUUAAUCCUGAAAUAAAUCCAAGUAAAAUUUAAGAAUACUCUGCACUAUUAGACACCAAAUUUAAUCAUCAUCUAUUUUAAUCCUAUAAUUACAUGGAAUCACACAUGCAUUUUCACAUUUAUGGAAAUAUGAAGAUUAAUCAUUUAUUCCAAAUUGAAUCAUAGUAAAAAAUUCUAAAAGUAAAGAUAUUAUGUUCAAAUAACAUUCUUUGAACAAAAUCAAACUAAUGAACUUCGUAAAAGAGAUAUUUUAUUAAUAUAAUACGUUCUGAAUAUAAUGGAAUUGACUCUAAAUUAACAGACGGUAAAACUAAUAGAAAUAGAUUGUGAUUGUCAUGUUAAAGUUUUGAGUGUCUUUUAGGCCUUAAUAGUUUCAAUGGGUCACCUUUCCCAAUUAUUCGUCUUUUGGCCUAAUUUAAUUAAUUUUAGCUCAACCAUUAGCAUCUCUACUUUAUGGAGUACAUCACAACUUCUAAUUCUAAAUUUUAGGAGAAGUCAACAAUUGGGAGUACUAUGACUAAAAUUAAUGCAAUCUUUAGCUAAUGGUAGGCUGAUUCUACAUUCAAACCCUAAUUAAAAUAGUUACAUUUAAAUUUUUAAAUAAAAUCUCACAUGAUUAUUCUAAGGGUAAUGAUGAAGUGAUAAUUGAUAAGUCUUCAUGAUCAUGAGUUAAUAAUUUAGUGAGAUAAUGUUUUUAGCCUUAACUCAUGAUAAAUAGAUUUAUUUUUGUGUUAAAUCAUGAAAAAAAAUAAAAAUACUGCCGGCUAGCCGGGCCCGCUAACGGGUCGGAGGCCCAAUCAGGCAAGGCCACUGAGUGGCUAAGGACCGCGAGCUCGAGGCUUAAGCAACUAGUGACAUAGACCGCGAGUUAGGCGCUCAAGCAGCUGACGUGUGCGUCAUUCCCCUUCCACGUCACUAGUGGCCAGUCGGGCAUGGGGAAAAGAGUGGUCAUACACACACUGAUGAUUUGUACCUAUUGAAGAGUGGAGAAGAUGCCACCUUAUAUUCGUGUGAAAAUCACCUAGAAAACCGAUGUGGGACUAAACGCGACACUUUAACUUUUUCCCGCAUAUUUUAUACAUACCAAUAAUGCCCCUCAAUGAUCGUUAGAAAAUGAUCUUUAUGACAUCAUACAUUAAUGGCAAUUUAGUACUUAUUUUAUCUCUCCCUCUUUCUCUCUCUCGCAGGCAGACAAUCGGCGAAGAAAUCGUGAUUUUCGACAAGCAAUUAAGCUGCAAAAAUCGCCAAAAAAUUAGAAAAAACUUAGUCAACACAAUUUGCAAAGCAUCAUGGCUGAAAUUAGUGUAGGAUUCUGGAAAAAAUAUCGUGAACUCAACGAAAAAAUCAUCUCUGCUUGAUCGACGAACAAGUUGUCACCAAGAAGAGGACGAUCUACCGGGAGACAAGUCACCACCUCCUAAGAGCGUACUAGAUGUGAUAAAGGGCCUCCUCUUAUUACACUUACUUGAGGACGAAGCCCUUGAGAUGCGCCCCACCUCCAUCUAGCAUACCUCCGUCGAGUGACAAUCGUCAGAGGGCUGCAAGUCGCCGUUUUUCCGUUCUGCCAGGUGACAACCAUCGAAAAUAAUUUGGUGACCCAUUCCACCAAUUUUUGGGCUUCGAAAGAAGAUCUAGAGAUCACCCACAUCAUUUUUGUCCAAAGAGAGCCUUCGACGUCAUGGACAUUGUACAAUUUCUUUUUUGAAUACGCAAAAUUCCAACGAUCGUCACCACGAAGUCAAAACUCUAUUUUUCCUAUUUUAAACUUUAUUUUCAUUUAAAUUAGUAAUAUUUGAUAUGAUUUCAAUCUUUCGUCCUUGAGUUACGAUUCUUCAGGCUUUUACAAAACUAAAUUUUAUCAAUUAAUUUGACGAUAAUCGCUUACGAAAGAAUCAUAGGUCGGAACUCUAUUUUUGCCCGAUUCGUGUUCUUCAGGCGAUGACGUCACUUGAUGUCAUAAACUUAUUUCCUUUUCACAAUUAUUAAAUAUAUUAUAUUUAUCAUUCAAUUAAAAAAUUAUAAAAAAAUCAUAUUCUUUGAAAAAAAUUCUAAAAUAUUACUCGAUAUUAUAUUACAUCCUUGUGAUCGACUUAGAAAUUUCUCACUAUUUUUGAAAUCUUUUAUCGAUUUAUAAUUAAUUUAUUCAUUCUAAUAAAUAUUUAAAAUUACAAGAAUUAGUCUUUUCUAGUUUUAUAAAUUUUGAAUUUACAUGAUUUAUUAUACAACGAUUAAGUCACGUCAAUGAUGUUAUUAAAUCAUAAUGAAAAGUUUAUGAAACUCACAGAGGUUGACCGAAGAUGACCAUGUCAAGUGUUGAUAGUCAUUAGAUCCAUGACCAAUAAUAUUGUUGAUAUGUAAUGACCGAGAUAGAAGAUCAAAGAUUUUUCAAAGGAAAAUUUCUUUAGACUAAUGUACAACUGAUGAGAUUUGAGAGUGCCUAAUACCUAAGUGAGGUGUCCUUUGUGUUCCUCUCAUGCCUUAUUUUAAAUCAAUAUAUCAUCAAAGAAAAUUAAGAUAAAAUUUAAAAGAUAUUUAUAAAAUAUUAUACUCAUUAGUACUUGAAAGAGCAAGGGUUUAUGAUGUCAGGUGACAUCAGCACCUGAAGAACACGAAUCGGGUAGAAAUAGAGUUCCAACCUAUGAUUCUUUUAUAAGCGAUUACCGUCAAAUUAAUUGAUCAAAUUUAGUUCUGUAAAACUCCGAAGAAUCGUAACUCAAGAAGGAAAGAUAUUGAAGGUCGAAAUUGUACCAAAGAUCACUAAUUUAAAUGAAAAUAAAGUUUAAAAUAAGAAAAAUAGAGUUCUGACUUCACGGCGACGAUCGUUGGAAUUCUGCAUGUUCAGAAAGGAAAUCAUGCAAUGUCCACGACCUCGAAGGCUCUCCUUGGACAAAGACAAUGUGGGUGAUCUUUAGAUCUUCUUUCGAAUUCCAGAAAUCAGUGAAAUGGGUCACCAAAUUGUUUCCAGCGGCUGUCACUUGGUAAAAUGGAAAAACGGCGACUUGUGACCCUGCGGCGACUGUCACUCGAUGGAGGUAUGUUAAAUAGAGGUGGGGCACGUCUCAGGGACUUCGUCCUCAAGUAAGCACAGGAAGGGGAGGCCCUUUAUCACAUCUGGUAUGCUCUCAGGAGGUGGCGACUCGUCUCUUAGUGGAUCAUCCUCUUCUUGGUGAUGGCUUAUUCAUUGAUCAAGUGGAGAUGAUUUUUUCAUUGAGUUCGCGAUGUUUUUUUUAGAAUCUUACACCAAUUUUGGCCACGAUGCUCUGCAAAUUGUGUUGACUAAGUUUUUGCUAAAUUUUUGGCAAUUUUUGUAGCUUAAUCGCUCGACGAAAAUCACGAUUUCUUCACCGGUUGUCUACCUACGAGAGAGAGAAAGAGGGAGAGAUAAAAUAAGAAUAAACUGCCCUUAAUGUAUGAUGUCAUAAGGAUCAUUUUCUAACAGUCAUUGAGGGACAUUAUUGAUAUGUAUAAAAUAUGUGGGAAAAAGUUAAAGUGCCGUAUUUAGUCUCACAUCGGUUUUCUGGAUGAUUUUCACACGAAUAUAAGGUGGCACCUUCUCCACUCUUCAAUAGGUACAAAUCACCAAUGUGUGUAUGACCACUCCUUGCCCCAUGCCCGGCUAGCCACCGGUGACGUGGAAGAGGAGUGAUGCACACGUCAACUACUUGAACGCCUAGCUCGUGGUCUAUGUCACCAGCUACUUGAGCCUCGAGCUCGUAGUCCUAAGCCGCUCAGCGGCCUUGCCCGAUUUAGCCUCCAACUUGCUAGCAGGCUUGGCUGGCCGGCAGUGUUUUCAUUUUUUUUCUCAAAUCUUUUUCCAUUUAUCUCAACAAAAUAAGAUUAUAAAUCAUGUAAUUAAUCAAAAAUUCAUAUUAAGUAAUCAUAAAUCACUUUUAACGAUUUAACACAAAAAUAAAUCUAUUUAUCAUGAGUUAAGGCUAAACAAAUCAUCUCACUAAAUUAUUAACUCAUGAUAAUGAAGACUUAUCAAUCAUCACUUCAUCAUUACCCCUAGAAUAAUCAUGUGGGAUCUUAUUUCAAAAUUUAAAUGUAACUAUUUUAAUUAGGGUUUGAAUUUAGAAUCAGCCUACCAUUAGCUAAAGAUUGCAUUAAUUUUAGUCCUAGUACUCUCACUUGUUGACUUCUCCUAAAAUUUAGAAUUAGAAGUUGUGAUGUACUCCAUAAAGUAGAGAUGCUAAUGGUUGAACUAAAAUUAAUUAAAUUAGGCCAAAAGACGAAUAAUUGGGAAAGGUGACCCAUUGAAACUAUUAAGGCCUAAAAGACACUCAAAACUUUAACAUGGCAAUCACAAUCUAUUUCUAUUAGUUUUACCGUCUGUUAAUUUAGAGUCAAUUCCAUUAUAUUCAGAACGUAUUAUAUUGAUAAAAUAUCUCUUUUACGAAGUUCAUUAGUUUGAUUUUGUUCAAAGAAUGUUAUUUGAACAUAAUAUCUUUACUUUUAGAAUUUUUUACUAUGAUUCAAUUUGGAAUAAAUGAUUAAUCUUCAUAUUUCCAUAAAUGUGAAAAUGCAUGUGUGAUUCCAUGUAAUUAUAGGAUUAAAAUAGAUGAUGAUUAAAUUUGGUGUCUAAUAGUGCAGAGUAUUCUUAAAUUUUACUUGGAUUUAUUUCAGGAUUAAAUGAGGAGAAUUUAAAUUAUUGUUAGGACUAAAUGACAUGUAAAAUAGAUUCAUCUUUUGAGCCCGAAUCAAUUCUUGGCCUAAAAUAAAUCUAAAAUUAAUUUGAAAAUGGCCUUGGCCCAUUCAUUCAAUACAUGGCCUAUCUUGCAGCCCAUUUAGAGAAAAAAUAAAACAAGGCAGUCCCAAAACCCUAGCCAUGCUAUCCUGCUCCUCCUUUCAUUAUCCCAACUCUCCUUCACUUGCUCGUCUCCUCCCCUUUCUCUCUUCCAUCCUACAUCUCUUCUCUCUCUCUCUCUCUCUCUCUCUCUUCCACUCCCCCUCCCUCCCUCUUUUUGUUGCUGUGAUAUCCCCCUCUUGUGUGUGUAAAGGGAAAGAGUUAAGAAAGCCUAUGAGCAAAACAAAGUUAUUGGAUCACCUUUUUGUUCUCAUUCUAUAUUAUGUGAAGGGGAUUUUUCAUAAAUUAGAACAAAAGGGAAUGGGUUUAAAUGCAUUCACAUCAUUAAUUAAAAUUGAAAUAGAUAUUUGCUUGACUAUUUUCUGUCGUUGCUAUGAAAAUUCAGCAAAUUUAAAAUUUAUAAAUUCUGGAAAAUAAGGCAAUUAUUAAUAAAGAAAUAUUUUUAGUAGAUUUUCUAGGCCGAUCAUAGGGAAGAUGAAGUAAUAUUAAUUAUUUAUGAUUUUUACUUGAUAUAUUAUAUAUUUUUUAAUUAUUUUCUGGCCAAAUUAUAACGAAAUAAGCUAAAAUUACGAAUUUGGGGGUUAUUGUCGUCAGCUGACGUCAGCCUGCGAAGAACAUCCCCAAAUUUGCGGUCGACGGAAAUACGUCGACACGUAAAUGGAUCAAAUAAAAGCCACAAUGAUGGAAAUAAGAGAUUAACAGAAAAGGGCUUUUGUUCGAAACAUGAUGAAGGAUUGAAAUAUGUAUUUUUGGAAUCUAAAAAUAGUAAAAAUGAACAGAAAUUAAAGUUUACGGAAGAACUGGGCGACGUAGUCGUCAAUCGGAUUUCCGCCCAAAUACGAUCUAUUUGUGUAGUCUCAGUGCACCGAUUGAUUUCCUACACCUUCUACAAUAGAUAGUUGACAAUCUCAGAAACUGUUACUUGCUGAAAUCGAGCAGCGAAGGUGAUUCGACUUUGAGCGUGCCGCGGCGUCCGGAGAAGGAUCCUCGGAAGAAAUUCUUUACCAUUUGUAUUGGGCAAUGAAUGGGGAAGAUUUCUGGAAGAAAUUCAGCCUUUGUACCAGUUGAAUGAGGGGGAAAUUUGGACAAAAUCUAUCUUUUGUAUCGGAUGGACGGAUUGGGUGAAAUCUGGUGUCUGUAGUAGUUGGACGAGAGGGGUUUUGACCCGAGAGGGGGAUAGAAUAAUCGAGGAUGCCUUAUUCCUCUCCGGAAACACCUUUUCAAUCUUCUUUUGCGCAUAUUUCGCCGAUUUGUUACAAGUAAUUGUCGUAUUUGUUGCCGCAAUCCAUGCGUCUGUCGUUAACACAAAAACCCUGAAAAGAUUUGAUUUUUCAUUAGUUUUAAAGGUUAUAAACUAUAAAAAUGACAUGCAUUGAAUUAUAACAUAAUUUCCAAUUUAUUUUUUUCAAUUUACUUGGAGAAUUUCUCUCUGGAGAAUCAAUUGAUCAUCCGGCGUGAUUUUUGUCGAUUUUUCUGGAUUUUCACUGAUUUUCUGAAUUUAAUGAUUUUUCUCAAAUUUACAUAAUAUGUCUAUAAAAUCAGAAUAACCUUAGAAAUAUUCUAAAAAAUAAUAUAAAACAUAAAAACAUGAUGAGAAAUAUUUUCAUCAUAUUACAUGACUGAUUUCUUCAUGUAAUUCUUAGAAAUUAACAUUAAAAUCAUAUAAAUCAUUUUAAAUCUAAAUUUUCCAAUUUAAAGUAUUCUGCAAGCAUUUUAAUUAAAAUUAAAGCAUAAAUCACAGAAACACUAAGGACAUUAUCAUGUAAAUAUUGAGAGUUAUCAAUAUCAACUUAUUUCAACAAAGAUAGCAUUAGGUAUGGAUGGAAUUGAUUAUGUCUUCAUUUAAUGUCUAGGAUUUAAAUAAAAUCUUUCUAAUCAGAAUGAAAAGAAGAUUAAGAAAAGGGGAAUAAGAAGGAAAAAAAAUUAUUUCAUCACAGAGAAAUAAUCAAGUCUACAUACAUUCACAUUGUAUCAUUUCGAUAAAUUAUGAGAUAAGUUAGGUACGCUGUUUAUAUCUUAUUUAAAUUCAAUUGAGAGAGAAAAGAUUUUAUAUAAUCAUGAAAUCAAGAAGAUAGAAGUGAUGAGCUAUUCUAAUUUUGGGCUUCCUAGAGCCCUGAAAUCUGUAAGAAAUAACUGAGGUAGACUUGUCAAUUCAACAAGGGGAGUAAUAACUUCUAGAGUUACUAGACUUGCGGAAUCCAACUAGUUUGUGUGCUUGGAACUUAGUGUGUAAACACUAAGACUUGGUGAAAUUUAAGGAUAAUAUUUUUAGAUAUCUUAUGUGAAAUUUUCUUUAUGAUUAUUCUAAUUAGAGAUUCGAUAUUUGAUUUUGAAGAAAACUAUAUCAAUUCAAGCUCCCUUUGUGAUGUUGUAGUACUACUUGGACAUCAAACAAAGGUCAGCAUGGAAGCCAAAAUACCAACCUUACUUUUGAAGCUUGAAUGAUAAACUUAUUCUGAAUUAUAUUUGUGAUUCAUCAUCACUAAAAUAAGGGCUUCAUGAAUAUUAAUUAUCCUAAAAAAAAAUGAAAACAUAUUUAAAGGAAUACAUUAAUCAAAUUAGGUUUAAUAUAUUAUAUAUAUAACACAGACGAUCUUUGGGCGCAUGCUUGAAAUAAAUUACUUCGAAAUUCAUAUAAGAUACAUCUCAAUAUUUUUAAGUGCCUUGAUGAUAGUUCAAUGAUUAUUUGUCAUUCUCAUAUUUUUGAAUUCUGGAUUAACAAAAAUGCUAUUGGGCCACAUUUGGUCCAAUUGAUCUGAUUUACACCUUAAGGGCUCUUAAGAAAUUUGAAAAAGGAAGAGAGGGAGAUUUGCGGAUGGAUAAAUGUUAGGGGGCAGCAUUUGGAGGAAGUCAAAGAAUGGAGAGACAAUGGCCCUCUUGAAAAGGUACCAUGUUAUGGAGCUAGGGUUUUGGCAUGAUCCAAACUCACCCCUUUCUUUGUAUCCUCCAUUUGUAUUUUCUAUCAUCCUUAUCAUCUUCAUACAUUGUUCUUAUCAACUGGUAUCAAGAUUGGUCUGAUGCCACCCAAAAUUAUGCAAAGGACAAGAAACCUUAGAGAAGAAAAUUAAAGAGUUGUGGUGGCCACUAGAAAUAAGGAGCCAUCUACAAGAAUUAAGUGGAAUAAAGAAGAGAUUGGAAACUCCAGCACAAUGAAUGAUGUAGAUGAUGCAGGCCAUGGAUUAGUUUCGAUGCCCAAGUAAAAAAAAAUUAAACUCAUCUUUAUGUUUUAAUGCAUAAAGAUAUGACUCCAAAAGAAAGAAAAUGUGACUAGAAGGAGAAACAAGCAUAAGGCCAAGUAAAACUUUUAUCUACAAAAGACAGAUUUGAAAGUAGCCUCUUACUUAAAAAGAAAUGUACCAAAUGGGAUAUGUUGUGCUAGAUACCGAGAUAGGUGGAAUUAGAUUGGAAAUGAUCACCUUUAACAAGAAAAUUGAGGAAGAUGUAUCCUCAUAAUAAAAUUAGUGACUCAUAGCUUAUGAAAAUUAUAUGUUAAUGUGUCAUUAAAUCAGGGAGAAUAAUACAUAGUUGAGAAUUAUUUCACAAGAUAUCAUGUUAAUUAUUUUAUUUAUCAUUUUAAUGAACCUCUUGGAAUCUUGAUUUAAGUUAAUAUUUUAUGAAUAAAAAGAAAAUUGAUGAGAUCUUAUUUCAUAUUUUGAAGCUUAUUUCUCAUUUAGUCUAUUUUUUAAAAUAAAAUUCUGUUGUUCUCAAUUUUUACAAUUUUUAAUGGAUUAUUUAUAUUGAAAUAAAUUUUCUAAAAUUUUUUUGAGAAUUUUCUGAAUUAAAUAAUAAAAAAAUGAUCUAAUGGGCUCACCGAUUUGUGGGCCUAUCUGGGCCCAAGAUCUUAUUCAUCUAAUGUGUUUCUAGUGUCAUAAAUUUAACAAAUAGAAGAGUGACACAUCACCAAAGGCCACGACUAUCUGAUGACAUACAAGUGGCCACGUCACCUAUCAAUUAUCAUGGAUCGACAGUGCAUGAAUCACAAGAUUCUCAACUUGACAUGUGGUGAGGACACAUGCACAAAUAUUAAUUAUUAUUUGAUAAAUUUGAUAUAUCACAAUAUGCAUGUGACUGAGCAUAUUUACAAAUAUGGAUUAUUGUCUAAUAAAAUAGACAAUAUCCAUUAUUCUCAGGUAUAAUGGUGAGAAAAUCUAGAAAAAUUAAGGAAAAUCUGAAAAAAAUACGGAAAAAUAGAAAAUUAAAAUAGAAUACUUGAUUUGUGGAUAUAAAUAAUAAAACAUGAUGGAAGAGGGAGAGAAAGGAUCUUUUUUGAGUUUUUUUUGAAUUUUUCUUGAGAGAAAAUAUUUUGUUCUUUUUUUUCAUGUGAAAAUAGAGUUCCAAUGAAUGCACCGUUGAUUUUUUAUCGUUCUCCUUUACCCUUCUCACCUUAAAUCUAUUUCGUUGAACUGGAUGCAAGAUUAGGAAGUGCUACCUAGAUGUCGACAUCAAACCAUGCAUUCUAAGGAUUAUAAGUUUAAUUUUAAAUAUAUUUUUCAUCAUUUUCUUGUUUGAUCUGCGAAAUAAAUUUAUUUUCUUAGUUUUAAUCAUUUCUUUACUUAUUUCUUUUCCAUUUUCAUCAUUCUAAAGCAUAUUUCAUUUUAGUCGAAGUUUUAAAUUCACAUCUACAUUUAUUUAUCAUUUUAUUUUCCUUCAUUAGUUUAAAUAUCAAAUUCAUAAUCUAUUAAAUAAGAGAAUAAAAAGAUUUUUAAAAGCUUUCCCUAAGGAGACUACCUAGCUCACCACUAUAUUCAUUUAAUAUUAUUUUUUUGGUGACUUUAGUUUUAUAAAUUAUUAAAAUUGAAUGAUGAUUCUAAUAACGACUUAAGGUCACAUCAGUGACAUAUGGGAUGAGUUUCAAAGAUGAGACAUUGACAUGUUUUUAUUUGAUUGAUGCGACUAAUCCUUUCAAAAAGCUUGAAGGAUUUCAAAUAAUAGUUUCUAGAAAUAUUUGAAUCAUGACAAGCCAAGAGACAAAGUUAUAUUUGGAUACCAAUCAACAUGAUACAUUAGUAGAAUUCAGAUGUGACUUUAAAAUCAUACUGGUGUCCAUGGAAGAGUUUCUUGAAGCAUUGGAGAAUACAUCUAUCGUAGGAUUAAAUCCAAAUAUUUGGACAACUUAGACUCCAUAAAUCAAUUGUGCUAAGACUGAUCAUGAAGACAAUACUAUUUGCAAGGAAAAGAAAUAAUGUCUUCAGAUUGGUGUGUGAAAUGAGGGUUUUCAAGUCAACUAAAGACUCGUCUAAAAGAUUUUUUGCUGAUAAGAGAAAAAUUACUCACAAAAAUGAUCUAUGGUAAAUAAAAAUGGAAAAUUAUGGUUUAAAUAAAUUAAAAUAACAAUGUAGUAUGAUAAAAUAAUUAAAAGAAGGGAAUCAAAGAGGGACAAAGAGAUAAAAACACAAUAAAAGGAGAAAACUCAUUAACAAGAGAGAAAGACAAUUCAAGAGACAAAACAAGAAAUCAAGGACAUAAUGGGGGAUUGGAGAAUGUUGAAAGAAAACUUUUUGAAAAUUUAUAAAUGUGAAAAAAUAAAAAAGACAUGGAGGAAGUGGGAGGGACUAGAACUAUAAGAAAAACAAAAAGUUCUUACAAUUGGUCACAUAGGAAGAGAGAGCAAAAGGAGAGCAAGAAAGCAACAAAAUAUUCCUAAAAAUUCAUAAAAUAAAGAUCCAAAAUGUUAAAGAAGAGGUGGGGAACGAUUUCAUGAUUGUCACGUAGGAAAAGAGAUAGAGAAAAGAAUCCAAAGAGAAAGAGCUCCAAAAGAGAAGAUUGGAAGAAGAAGAGGAGAAAGGAGAGAAGAUAAGGGGUGUGCAGAAAUAUUUUAAUAUAAAAAAAUUUCAGCUUUAGAGCGGGAUAUUAUGAUUUAGGGCACGCCCAUUAGUGUCUAAUGGGUAAAUUGCUCAUAUGUCACAACCAAAGUCUCCUCUUUAUCUUGAAUAUAAAAAGAUAAAUAAUUAAAUAUAUAAAUUUAUUAGGAAUAUAAAUUUAAUUAUGAAAUUUUAGAAAUGAAUUAAUAUCAGUAUCAAAAGAAUUUAUUGGAGUAUUAUUUAUUCAUAAAGUAUAAUAAAAAUGCACAGGUUUAUGUUAUUUUUACAUAAAAAUAUCAUGUUAUCACAUCCCCUCCCAACUUACACAUUGUUAAUCCCUUAGAAACUCACACAAUAAAUAUUUAGAACUAACCAGAGUUAUAAAACAUCACAUUUCAAGUCAAGAAUGUAAGAAUGAAAAUGAUCAGUCACAAGUAUUUCAAGCUGUACUAAUUAGUUUUAAGGCAAGACAUAUUGGAUUAUGUAAUUAGAAAACUCUCAAAAUAUAUUUCAGAUGUUAGAACCCCUUGUGAAAGUGUGUGCAUAUAAUGCAUAAAUAUCAACAAGUGGAUGCAUAAUAUCAACUCCAUACUACUCAAAUCUGUUCCUUGCCUUUUGAAGCUUCACUAUAUCAUUUUUUAAUAUUUUUCUUCUUCCUUCUUUCUUUUCCUUUUUUCGUUUAGGGAGAUAACUUUUCCUGACCAUUACUUCUUCCUUGGAAGCAUAUAAUGUCAAUUUUCAAAUCCUCGAGUGUGAUACUCACUCUAACUUUAUUCUUUUUCACUUUCUUUUGCACAAAAGUAGUCUUUUUCCUCACAAAUACUUCUUCAUUAGUAGUGUAGGAUAUCAAUCUUCAAAUCUAAAUGUUAAGUAAAACUCUCAUCAUCUGCAUGAAUGACACUUUAAUUUUUAUGGACAAAUGUGUGUAGGCUCCACAAAAUUUAUCAUGUACUUUUAGGAAUACUAAAACAUAGUUAGCAAACUCACCGAUUAAUUCACUACUAUCACAAACAUAUAAUUUCACUUCUACCAAUCUUAAAGAUUUUUUUUAUUGAAUGAAACACAAAGCAUGAGGCAUAAAGUUUGAAAUAAUUUAAUUUUAGUUUCAAAUUAAAUCAUUCUUAAGCAUGAAGUAAGAAGUAUGACUUAUGAAACAUGAUUUUUUUAAAAAAAAUUGGAUACCAUUUUCUCUUCCCAACUUAAAUGGCAUUAUUAAAUAUGAAGCAUCAAGCAUGACACAUGAAACAUAAUUUGUUUUAAAAAAUUAAAUACCAUUUCUAAGAAAAAUUAAACAACAUAAGCUAGGUGUUGUCUUCGCUACCUACUUCUUAUAGUGUAAUCAAAUAUGUCUCCUCAUCAUGCCAACCAACUUGAAACUUUAACAUUGAGAUCAUUCAGAAAUAUGAGCAAGAGUUUAUUGUCCAUAGCAGAAAAUUAUGAGACUAACCUCCUCUUACCAUUAGUCUGGUGUGAUACUGGAAGAUGAAUAUUUGCACUUGAAUAAGGUCUCUUUAUGUUAGCUCUAGUCAAGUCAUCUCUUGUACCAAGAAGAAUGUGUGGGUGAUCCCACUGUCCAAUGUUGUUCAAGUGGACAGUGAUGACGACUACCACAAAGAUAAGUCAUUGUGAUCCAUUAAACUCUACUCGAGCUUCUAGUGUCCCCAAUACUUGUAAUAUGUUGAGAGAAGAGAAAUCCUAAGACCGAACUUGUAGUGGUGACUCCUACACAAUAAUGACAUUUUACAUGAUCUUCCCUUUUGUUGGCCCGAUAUGGACAGUGUUUAGUAGCCCAGCUAUGCACAAUAUUUGGUUCUACUCUCCUCAAUCACACAAAGACCACCGUCCACUCUUCUAUUCGAUUGUAUUGUGGAAUAUAAAUUGAAAGAUGAAAUUCUAUUUGCCAUAAUUACCCAAUUAAUCAAAGGAACCAUUUCGAGAGUCAAUAUCCUUACAUGACCUUCACGAUAAAAUUAACAAAAUAGUGAUUCAGCAGUGCCGAGAGCAGAUGGGUGGUACUGUCACAUGGUCAAGAUAAACCCGACCAGACCCAACACCACCAGACCAAUAUUCUCACCCUGAACUGGCCUUGGUCUCCCUCGUCAGCAUCAAGCAGCCACUUCAUGUGGCGCAUUAGACUUUUCUUCAUCAAAGGAUCCCGGAUUCUCCCUCAUUGGAUAAUGGGUAACCCUUGCCUAGUAACCCACACUUAAAAAAGUGAAGGUAAUGGAUAAAUCAAUAAAAUAAAUUCCGAAUGAGGCUCAACGAAUGCCCACCAUUCUCCACCAGAUCCGUUGUAUUGGACGACUGUUUUUUUUCUUCUUGGUCAGGCCCAGAAGAUGGCAUGUGACCGGAGAGGCGUAGGGUUUUGAAAAAAGUUAAAUAUUUAUUAAAAUCGAUGCCCAGGAAAUAAGAAAUAAUGGGAGAACUGGAAAAGAAGGAGCCUCUCCCACCAUCAUAAACUUUACGCGUUUUCUUCCCACAGGUUUAGAUACAGAAAAAUUAAAAAAAUAAAAGAGGGAAGGAGCUGACGUCUACAAUGUCAGUCUUGGUCCAAACAUUUGGCUUAGUUGCAUCGUGGAAAGGAGACUUUUCAAGUCAACGGGGGGUUGCCCGGAACCGGCACCUGGACGGCACUCGCUUCAUUCGUACCUCCCCGAUCAGCUACUUCUUAAACUCAACGAGCUUGCCAAGGGUGAUGGUGCCGAACGGCUCGGAGAGGUAGGCUGGGGUUCGGGUUGAGAUCUCCUGAGCCACGAAUCUCAUGAAGGGGCGGGCCUCCGGGUCCUUGUUGGUGCAGGUCAGGGCCAUCUUGACAACGAACACGACCUCCUCCGCCAGCUGCCCUAUUGGGGGGGGCCCGGCGAUGGUUGAGAACGUCCUUCAACAGCAGCGCCUUGCCGUCGCCGGAGGAGGAGGACGACGACAGGGAGGUGAUCAGGUCCGUCGGGUACUUCCCCAUCAUGACUUUGAACGCCACCACCCCGAAGCUAUACACGUCGCACUUCUCCGUCACCUUCAUCAUGAAUGCCAGCUCUAUUGGCACGUGGCUCAUAAGUUGAUCACGUCAUAGGUAGCGGAAAAAAACCGUAUUUAAUGUUGAGGAGAGAGAGAGACCGAUUAUAUGCCCCUCAAUGGCCCAAUCAUUGGCAGGCCGAGUCAGAUGGGAGAAACAGUUCAACCAAACCAUUUUUGCUUCAAGUAAAUUGUGGACAUAUUUACUAAGGAGUUCAUUGGCACACUUCCUAAGGCAGCUCAAGGUGAUAUAUAAAUAGAAGCCACCUCUUUUUAUCUUGUAGCACCAUGUGACCAAAUAGUACCAGAGAGGUUAGGAGAGAGUUUCCAAUGGAGAGAUCUCUAUUUGUUAGUGAGGAAUUAAUGAGUUUUUUGAAGGCCAAGACUAGAGAUCUAAAAACAUCGAAUAUUUAUUAUGAUGUAAUAUAUGAAAUCAUACACUUGAAACAUAUAUGUCAAGAUCUCAAGUAUGUAAUUAAUAAGUUAAUUAAUGAAAAAAAUUAUCAUGAUAUAAAUUUAAAUAGUUAAACCUUAAGAUCAUAAGAAAUUCAUCAUAUUACAUGACAUUAUGCAAAAAUAUUUUUUAUUUAUAGAAAUUAUGACAAUCAAUGAAAUAAUUAUUUGAAUAAAUAUAUCAACAACUUUAGGUAAAAUAAAAUAUGAGUAUGAAAGCUUAUUCAGGCAUUUACAAACUCAUGAUUUUACUUUAUAACAAUCUGAUGAUUAGAUAUCGAAUUAGUCAAAUUAUCAAUUGAGUGUCGAAUUCACUAAAUAAGAUUUUCUAAAUAUACAUUGAAUAUAUGUUAAAAAUCAUACAGAUAAAUCUUGACAAAGACUUUAUGAUUUAAAAUAUUGAUAUUGAAGCUCACAAAGUAUACUUAUAUCUCAUAUCUUUUUUGAUUGAAUUCAUAUAAGAUUUAAGUGAGAAAUCAUUACUUUAAUAAGACAUGUCAUGUUGGGUACAUAAUAAAGUUUAUCAAACUCUUAUUAGAUUUUUGUGAACCAACUGGAUAACAACAUUAAGUCUUAAAGAAUUUAUGUGUUGUUUUUCUUAGAGAAUAUCUUAAAUUAUAAUAGGACAUCGUAUUAGAUUUACUUAAGCUUUGAAUUUAAUCUAGUCAUUGGAGAUCCUACAAAGUCAGUGAAAAAUUUAUAUGUAAUUUAUCUAUAAAUACUACUGUUCUCCAACAUGAAGAAUUAAUCCUCAACGAGCAUAUUUAUUCUUUCAUACAUUCUUUCUCUAUUUAAUGAUCUUCAUGUAGUACAUUCAAGAGGAUGAGAGAUGAUUGUUCUACUAGCUACACAUUAAAAGAACAAGUAUUAACUCAAACAUAUUCAAGAUAUUCUUCAUCCUUGAGCCGAACUUAACAACAAGUUUUCAAGUUUCAAUGCCAACAUAUAGAAAUAACAAGAUGAUAAAGGUUCAACCUUCUAAACAUUCAUCUUCUACUACUGCAACAAUCUAAAACACUCAACAUUUACCUUCUAGAUAUACCCACGGUGAUAUAGGUUUAUAUAUUUGUGGGUUUAAAUAAAUGAUUAUUUUUUUUAUCACUUGGGCAGUUGUCCUGUAAAAACAAUAAUUUAGGGCCUUAUAGAGUGGUGAAUCUAGAAGAAGGGUAAAUUGAGCCCAUGAAAUUAAUGGUUAUGAUCUAAACAAUCAACUAGUAUAACCCAAGGAUAUGGAGUAUCCUUAGAGAGUGGAUGUAGGCUGAUACCAAACCAUUAUAAAAAUAGUAUGUCCAUGAUCACAACCCCUUAAGGAUCAGCCCAUUAGGAAAGUGACAAAGGGAUCACAAAGAGAAAUCAUUCAAAGAAAAGAAAAGAUGAAUCAAUUCAACCCUCACUUCUUGAUCUUCAGUGGCCUAAAACUAAUAGAUUGAGUUAAUUUUCUAAUUUAUCAAAGAUCCAUGGGAGGAUAUUUAGUCUAUCUAGGACAAAAUUUCAUAUUUUAGAGUUCUAGAAAAUAACCUACCAUCGCCAAAUCAAGUACAUAAGUGGAAUAUAAAGUUAUUGCUAAUGCUACAGCCGAAUUAAUAUGGAUCAGGUGUCUUUUGAAGGAACUUCAUCUCUCUUUAUUCUUUUGAAGGAACUUCAUCUCUCUUUAUCAACCAUUUUGGUACUAUGGUGUGACAACAUUAGAACUACAUAUCUUGUCACCAAUCUUUUAUUACAUGCUUGCACAAAACAUAGAAAUAGGCUACCAUUUUGUGCAAGAAUAGGUCAACACUAACUAGGUCAAAAUUAGAUCUCUCCAAAAAGAUUAAAUUUCCGAUAUACUCACCAAGCCACCAUCCAAGCAUUUGUUUCUCUUUGAAAUCUAAGGUCAAUGUUCUUCCCACAAUGAGCAUGUAAGGGAGUAGUAAAGCUAAUGAAGGCUCAAAAGAAAAGUUAUGUGAACUGGUUCAAUCACCAACUCAAAUCAAUAGAACUAAAUUGGCUAAUAAAAUACAGAAGAUCAACAUAUAUAAUACAUCAUCAACUGUUACUUCAGCCUUACAAAUUAGAAUCGGCUAGCAUAUUAAAAUAGCUAUGUCAAAAAAAACAACUAAUACAUAUAUAUAUAGCAGUCCACGGAGCUGCAUCCCUACUCACCUGGUCCAUAUAUAUAUAUAUAUAUAGAUACACACACACACACACACAAUCAUGAUGCAUUGAGGACACCCUUUUUUAAAACAUAACAAAUUCACACUUGAUAUCCCCCUCUAUUUUGUUGUUUCCUCUUCUCCUCUACCUUGGUUCUCCCUUCUAUCUCACAAAUUUCUAUGCUUGCUAGGUAGAUGGUGCAGAAUCCCCCUUUGCUGAUGUAGAAGGCAUCGGCAAAGUUGUUGGUGGCAUGAGCAAUGUUGAGGAAGUUAAACUUGUCAUCCCUCUCCCAUGUUGUUGACUUGAAGUCCUACUCAUUGUGGCCGAUGCCUCGAGGACAUUAUGCCGUUGCAUACAGCAGCGAUAAAAGCACCUCACUAUAGCGAUGAUGAUGAAGAGAAUAACCAAACCAACGAUGCAACCACCAAUAUAGACGGCUGCAUCAGGGGGGUCAUGGUCACUAUUGGGGAAGGUUCCUAUGAAAUUCAUGGUAAGGGCACUCUAGAAGACGUUCUAGCUAGGAAUAUGGCAGAAAAGGAGGAAUCUAGGAACAUGGUAGGGAAGGAGGAUAGGAGAAGGGGAACCCUUAAAUGGGUGAGAAACAUUGGGCAUAUAGAAUUCAACCCCAUGGGGCCCUCUAAGUUGACUUGUACAUUGUCUUCGAACGGUAGUUUAUUUCCCUUAAAAGUUGUCCAUGUCAAUGUGAAAUCCACUACGCUUCAACAAGGAAUGUCGUUGUACUAAAUAAAUGAAUCCAUUAGAUUUGGUUUGAAAUACUUACCAAAUGUGGACUUUGUCAAACCUUUGGGGGGGCUUUUCCAAGGUCUUACAAUAAAUUGAAGGAAUUCAAGGUUUCCUUACAAUAUUUAAGCAAAAGUCAGCGGGGCUUCGAACUAGUGAACCUCAUUUCUAUACUUGUAAUGUGUGACCCAUGUCGACGGACUUUUGACCGUCAUUUUGUCUGAGACACGUUGAAGUAACCUGGGUCCGAUUUGCACGAUCACAGCAGAUUGUGGUGGCGGCACGACAAUGUUUGCUAUUUCUUCAAAUAGCCCCUUGUUUACAUCUGUCAAUUCUUAGAAUAUGAUCCAAUCAAAUCAACUGUUAGCACAUUGCACAUAGAAAAAAGAUACUUCACAACUUGGAUGUAAUCGUGGUCACGAAAAUCAUCAUAAUUUGUCAAGACAUCUCCACCAUGUAGAAUGCCACACAUUCUUCUCAUAAAAGGCCAUAAUACCCUUUCAAUAGUCUUUGAGUCAGGUCCCACAACUACUUUAUCACGACAGAGACAAAUACAUAUAAAAAUAUCUGUCAAAUGGAUAAACCUAUGACUUGGCAGCCAAAGAAAGACUCUAUGUGUUUGUGUUAGUAGAGAGAGAGAGAGAGAGAGAGGUGUUCCACGUGAUGACACUCUUUUAUGUUGACAAAGGAGGCUGGAGAUGAUGCCCAGGGAUGUUGACUCAAGCAUAUGCAAUUGGAAGGUCCUAUCAUCCGGUUCACUUCUGAAACUCAAGGAAUUGGCUUUCGAUUGUGGUGUAGAAUGUCCCAGCAUGCAAGCCGAUGUAGAGAAAACCAUUGACUUUUGCCUGGAAAAGUUGUCACCACCAGGCUUUGCUUGUUGACUAGAAUUAGAAUUUAUGGGUACAGGAAGAGGUAUGGUCCAUUAUCAAGAGAAGCCAAAGAACUUAUGAGGAAAAUGGGCCCCACCUUCCAUGCAUUUGAAAUGGCUAGGAACUCACAUGACAUCAAUCAAUGCUAUGGUGAAGGAGCAAGGUCUCUACAUCUGGAUCUCCUCCAUUGCCUCAAGUGGCAAGGCAGAACUUUGGGAGAGGAGGAAGGUUCAGAAGGAUGGGAUUGGCAUAGUACUCCAGCCAACAUCCUCCUUGGUUGUGAUGCCUUGGUACUUUGCUUUGGAGCUGCCUCCCCUUGUCAUGGUGACUCCUCGCCUCAACCAUACACACCCACAUGAGAGGAGAUCCCAAUUAGCAUAUGGAAAAUAUCCUAAUGGUCAAUGGGAGAUCAUGAGCCAGUCGAUCUAUAUUUAUUUUGAAGUUCAUAUCAAACAGCAUUCAAAAAGAAAAAUAUAUUAUGAGUUAGUACAAGUUGACAUAAUAAGACCCCAAGGUUAAUUCGACACGACUCAAAUAUUUAAUAUGACUUCAAUUCUCUAUUAUAUUAUAUGAUAUCAUAGGGUUUUUCACCUUUAUAAAUAUAAAUAAAUGAUUUCUUUUAGAAAUUGAUUCAAAAUAAAUAACAUUAAGUUUUUAGAUAUCUUUACCUUCAAAAUAUUAGAUUACACAGAUUUUUCUAAGAAAUGUUAUAAGCAAGCUCCAUAUAAUAAUCAAACAUUCUAUUUUAGAACCAUAUUCUGCUCAUCUACAAGAAGAAUAGAUUGUCAAGUUUCUACAUAGAUAGUCAAAAUUUGAACAAGGCAAUCAUUUUGAUCAAUUAUUGAUUCCAAUUAUGAAAAAAAUAUUAAAUGUGUUGAAUGGAGCAUAGAUAUUUUGAAAUGGAAUCUUAGAUUAAGCUAUCAUCACAUUCAUACGCCAUUACAUAUUUCUUGUAUUAUUGUAGGCUCUUCAAUCCACAAACUACCUUUCAAGUACUAAUGAGCAUAAUAUUUUAUAAAUAUCUUUUAAAUUUUAUCGUAAUUUUCUUUGAUGAUAUAUUGAUUUAAAAUAAGGCAUGAGAGGAACACAAAGGGCACCUCACUUAAGUAUUAGGCACUCUCAAAUCUCAUCAGUUGUACAUUAGUCUAAAGAAAUUUUUCUUUGAAAAAUCUCUAAUCUUCUAUCUCGAUCAUUACAUAUCAACAAUAUUAUUGGUCAUGGAUCUAAUGACUAUCAACACUUGACAUGGUCAUCUUCGGUCAACUUCUGUGAGUUUCAUAAACUUUCCAUUAUGAUUUAGUAACAUCAUUGAUGUGACUUAAUCGUUGUAUAAUAAAUCACACAAAUUUAAAAUUUAUAAAACUAGAAAAUACCAAUUCUUAGAAUUUUAAAUGUUUAUCAGAAUGAAUAAAUCAAUUAUAAAUCGAUAAAAUAUUUCAAAAAUAGUGAAAAUUUUCUAAGUUAAUCACAAGGAUGAAAUAUAAUAUCGAAUAAUAUGUUAGAAUUUUUCUCAAAGAAUAUGAUUUUUUUUAAUUUUUUAACUGAAUGAUAAAUAUAAUAUAUUUAAUAAAUGUGAAAAGAAAAUAAUUUUAUGACAUCAGGUGACGUCAGCACCUAAAGAACACGAAUCGAGUAGAAAUAGAGUUCCAACAUAUGAUUCUUUCGUAAGCGAUUACCAUCAAAUUAAUUGAUCAAAUUUAGUUCUGUAAAAGCUCAAAGAAUUGUAACUUAAGGAGGAAAGAUAUUGAAGGUCAAAAUUAUCCAAAGAUCACUAAUUUAAAUGAAAAUAAAUUUUAAAUUAAGAAAAAUAGAGUUUCGACUUUGCGGCGGCGAUCACUAAAAUUAUGCGUGUUUAGAAAGGAAAUCAUGCAAUGUCCACAACCUCGAAGGCUCUUCUUGGACAAAGAAGAUGUGGGUAAUCUCUAGAUCUUCUUUUGAAGCCCAAAAAUCGAUGGAAUAGGUCGUCAAAUUAUUUCCAAUGGUUGUCACCUGGUAGAAUAGAAAAAUGGUGACUUGUGGCCCUCUGAUGACUAUCACUCGAUAGAGGUAUGCUAGAUAGAGGUGGGGCAUGUCGCAGCAAGAGGAGGCCCUUUAUCACAUCUAGUACGCUCUCAGGAGGUGGUGACUCGUCCCCUAGUGGAUCAUCCUCUUCUCGGCGAUGGCUUGUUCGUCAAUCAAGCGAAGAUGAUUUUUUCGUUAAGUUUGCAAUAUUUUUUCCAAAAUCCUACACCAAUUUCGGUCACGAUGCUCUACAAAUCACGUUGACUAAGUUUUUGGUAAAUUUUUGGCAAUUUUUGUAGCUUAAUCGCUCAGUGAAAAUUAUGAUUUCUUUGCCGGUUGUCUGCUUGCGAGAGAGAGAAAGAGAGAGAUAAAAUAAGUACUAAACUACCCUUAAUGUAUGACGUCAUAAGGAUUAUUUUUUAACAGUCAUUGAGGGGCAUUGUUGGUAUGUAUAAAAUAUGUGGGAAAAAGUUAAAGCGCUGGGUUUAGUCCCACAUCAGUUUUCUAGGCGAUUUUCACGCGAAUAUAAGGUGGCACCUUCUCCACUCUACAAUAGGUACAAAUCACUAGCGUGUGUAUGACCACUCCUUGUCCCACGCCCGGCUGGUCACCGAUGACAUGGAAGGAGAGUGACACACACAUCAACUGCUUGAGCGCCUAGCUCGCGGUCUACAUCACCAGCCACUUGAGCCUCGAGUUUGCAGUCCUUAGCCGCUCAGCAGCCCUACCUAACUAACUAGGCCUCUGACCUGCUAAUAGGCCCGACUGUCCGGUGGUGUUUUUAUUUUUUUAUUAAAUCUUUUUCCAUUUAUCUCAACAAAAUAAGAUUAUAAAAUCAUGUAAUUAAUCAAAAAUUCAUAUUAAGCAAUCAGAAACCACUUUUCACAAUUUAGCACAAAAAUAAAUCUAUUUAUCAUGAGUUAAGGCUAAAAACAUCAUCUCACUAAAUUAUUAACUCAUGAUAAUGAAGACUUAUCAAUCAUCACUUCAUCAUUACCCCUAGAAUAAUCAUGUGGGAUCUUAUUUAAAAAUUUAAAUGUAACUAUUUUAAUUGGGGUUUGAAUGUAGAAUCAACCUACCAUUAGCUAAAGAUUGCAUUAAUUUUAGUCCUAGUACUCCCACUUGUUGACUUCUCCUAGAAUUUAGAAUUAGAAGUUGUGAUGUACUCCAUAUAGUAGAGAUGCUAAUGGUUGAACUAAAAUUAAUUAAAUUAGGCCAAAAGAAGAAUAAUUGGGAAAGGUGACCCAUUGAAACUAUUAAGGCCUAAAAGACACUCAAAACUUUAACAUGGCAAUCACAAUCUAUUUCUAUUAGUUUUACCGUCUGUUAAUUUAGAGUCAAUUCCAUUAUAUUCAGAACGUAUUAUAUUAAUAAAAUAUCUCUUUUACAAAGUUCAUUAGUUUGAUUUUGUUCAAAGAAUGUUAUUUGAACAUAAUAUCUUUACUUUUAGAAUUAUUUACUAUGAUUAAAUUUGGAAUAAAUGAUUAAUCUUCAUAUUUCCAUAAAUGUGAAAAUGCAUGUGUGAUUCCAUGUAAUUAUAGGAUUAAAAUAGAUGAUGAUUAAAUUUGGUGUCUAAUAGUGCAGAGUAUUCUUAAAUUUUACUUGGAUUUAUUUCAGGAUUAAAUGAGGAGAAUUUAAAUUAUUGUUAGGACUAAAUGACAUGUAAAAUAGAUUCAUCUUUUGAGCCCGAAUCAAUUCUUGGCCUAAAAUAAAUCUAAAAUUAAUUUGAAAAUGGCCUUGGCCCAUUCAUUCAGUACAUGGCCUAUCUUGCAGCCCAUUUAGAGAAAAAAUAAAAUAAGGCAGUCCCAAAACCCUAUCUUGCUCUGCCUUUCAUUAUCCCAACUCUCCUUCACAUGCUUGUCUCCUCCCCUUUCUCUCUUCCAUCCUACAUCUCUUCUCUCUCUCUCUCUCUCUCUCUCUCUCUCUCUCUCCCUCUCUUUCACUCCUCCUCCCUCCCUCUCUUUGUUGCUGUGAUAUCCCCCUCUUGUGUGUGUAAAGGGGAAGAGUUAAGAAAACCUAUGAGCAAAACAAAGUUAUUGGAUCACCUUUUUGUUCUCGUUCUAUAUUAUGUGAAGGGGAUUUUUCAUAAAUCAGAACAAAAGGGAAUGGGUUUAAAUGCAUUCACAUCAUCAAUUAUAAUUUGAAUAGAUAUUAUAUCAACUUAUUUCAACAAAGAUAACAUUAGGCAUGGAUGGAAUUGAUUAUGUCUUCAUUUAAUGUCUAGGAUUUAAAUAAAAUCUUUCUAAUCAGAAUGAAAAUAAGAUUAAGAAAAGGGGAACAAGAAGGGAAAAAAAUUAUUUCAUCACAGAGAAAUAAUCAAGUCUACAUACAUUCACAUUGUAUCAUUUCGAUAAAUUAUGAGAUAAAUUAGGUACGUUGUUUAUAUCUUAUUUAAAUUCAAUUGAGAGAGAAAAGAUUUUAUAUAAUCAUGAAAUCAAGAAGAUAGAAGUGAUGAGCUAUUCUAAUUUUGGGCCUCCUAGAGCCCUGAAAUCUGUAAGAAAUAACUGAGGUCCUUCUCUAGUUUUGGCCAGCUAGACCUGUCAAUUCAACAAGGGGAGUAAUAACUUCUAGAGUCACUAGACUUGCAGAAUCCAACUAGUUUGUGUGCUUGGAAGUCAGUGUGUAAACACUAAGACUUGGUGGAAUUUAAGGAUAAUAUUUUUAGAUAUCUUAUGUGAAAUUUUCUUUAUGAUUAUUCUAAUUUGAGAUUCAAUAUUUGAUUUUGAAGAAAACUAUAUCAAUUCAAGCUCCCUUUGUGAUGUUGUAGUACUACUUAGACAUCAAACAAAGGUCAGCAUGGAAACCAAAAUACCAACCUUACUUUUGAAGCUUGAAAUAAUGGGAGAACCGGAAAAGAAGGAGCCUCUCCCACCAUCAUAAACUUUACGCAUUCUCUUCCCACAGGUUUAGAUACAGAAAAAUAAAAAAAAUAAAAGAGGGAAGGAGCUGACGUCUGCAAUGUCAGUCUUGGUCCAAACAUUUGGCUUAGUUGCAUCGUGGAAAGGAGACUUUUCAAGUCAACGGGGGGUGUCCGGAACCGACACCUGGACGGCGCUCGCUUCAUCCGUAUCUCUCCGAUCAGCUACUUCUUAAACUCGACGAGCUUGCCGAGGGUGAUGGUGCCGAACGGCUCGGAGAGGUAGGCUGGGGUUCGGGCUGAGAUCUCCUGAGCCACGAACCUCAUGAAGGGGCGGGCCUCCGGGUCCUUGUUGGUGCAGGCCAGGGCCAUCUUGACCACGAACACGACCUCCUCCGCCAGCUGCCCUGUUGGGGGGGGCAGGCACUGGUCGAGAACGCCCUUCAACAGCAGCGCCUCGCCGUCGCCGGAGGAGGAGGACGACGACAGGGAGGCGAUCAGGUCCGCC
rnacentral:lncRNA from 1 species